rnacentral:lncRNA from 1 species
CAACUUAGCAUAAUUAAACAUUUAGGUAUGGAAAUCAAAUCACAAUUUGAGUAGAUAAACGCGUCGCUUGAAAAUGUGAUAAGUAAGAAAAUUGCCCACAUUUGAGUAGCGACAGGUGGUGAUGCAUUUCCCAACGAGAGAAAACCAAGCUCUUUGCCAGUAUGGAUUUAUGUAAAGGACAACAAAAAUUGUCAACAACACAACUACAUAAGAAACCAAAAAGCUCACACAAAAAUCAUAAGUAUCUAUCAAACCAUCUUCUCCUUUAUCUUCUGAUACAGUUGAUAUCGUUGAUGGUGAAUCAGUUUUGGAACAACUUUUAUGCAGUAUAGGUCCACAAAGAAAAGGGUUUCCUUCAUAACUGUUUUCAAUAAAGGUCCCAAAUUGAGCUUUUGGUUCGGGAAUACUACCUGACAAGUUGUUGUAUGCCACGCUGAAAACCUCCAAAGAGUUCAACUCUACCAACUGAUUGGGGAUUUCGCCACUCAAGUUGUUGUAAGAAAGGUCCAAACUCUCAAUUUGAUGAAGUUUUGAGAAUGACGAGGGUAUAACUCCGGUCAACUUAUUGUGUGAAAGGUUUAAAGAAUAGAUUUCACUCAAGUUCCCUAAUUCUGGUGGGAUAUGACCAGUUAAGUUGUUGCAAGAUAAAUCAAUCCCGGUCAUAUAUGAAAGGAUGUUGCCCUCGUACAAAAAGAGCCCACUCUUUGUUGUGAACUCUAUUACUUCUUCUAAGUAGCUAUCAGGAUAGUAAGAAUCCAUUCCCAAAUUUAGUGUUGUUUCAUCCUCUUCUAUAGAUGGCAAAUAGAACCCAGUUUCUAGACUCUCUCUCUCUUUCAGUGGAAGAGAUAAAUUUCCCAAACAAGAAGGUAUAGGACCAAAAAACAUAUUUUGAGAAAGAUCUAUGAUGCUUAAAGAAUGCAACUUGCAUAACUGAAUUGGAACUUUACCGUGAAAAUGAUUAUCUUUCAAGAGAAGAACACUCAAAGAAGAAAAUGUGUCAAUCCAUUUUGGAAUAUUACCUGUCAAAUUGUUUCCUCUAAGAUCUAAAGUCACUAGAGAGGAGCUAUUAUAAAAAGCAAGUGAUAGUGGACCUCUCAGUCUAUUCCCGUGGAGGUGGACAUGCUCUAUGUUUGGUGGAUUAAAACAUGACGGUAUAGAUCCAGAUAAAUGAUUUUGGGAAAGAUCCAAAAAUUCCAACCUAUUCAACUUGCAAAAUUCCAUUGGAAUAGAACCCUCGAAACCGCUGUUGGACAAAGCUAAUCUCUCCAAAAACGAUGCAUUCCCUAUCCAUCUUGGGAGCUUUCCAUGCAACUUGUUGUUACUAAGAUCAAUUUCCCUUAUUGAAUUUGGAAACUCAAAAGUAGACAAAUCAACAUUUGUCAUCUCUCCUGAAAAAUUGUUUCCAUCCAAAUAUAAAUUCUGCACCCCAUUUGAGUUGAGAACCACAGGAACUACAUUUCCACUGAGCUUGUUAUUUGAUAGUCUCAAAAUGGUCAGUGAGCCUUUCGCGAUCAACUCUUCUGGUACUUUUCCAUACAAUUGAUUGUUUGAUAGAUCUAAAAAUGAUAAGUCCUUCAUGACACUUAAACAAAGUGGGAUAUUACCUUCAAAAGCAUUCUUGGAUAAGAAUAACCGCCACAAAUGUGGAAAAGUUGAACAUAUAGUAGUCGGAAUUUGACCUUGUAAUUUGUUUUCAGAUAUGUCAAUUGAAGAUACAUUAGAAAUAAGAGCUGACGAAAAUGAGAGAGGACCAGUAAAGGAAUUACCCAUCAAGAUGAGAACUUCUAACUUUGUGUUGUUUUCUAACAACCAAGUUGGGACUGUUCCGCUGAAAUUGUUAUGAGAAAGAUCCACAUAUCUCAAGUCAUAUUGGUAGUAAAGGAAGGUAGGAAGUUCAAGAUUGAGUUGUUGAGAUGUAAUGCACUUUGACAAACUGAUGCUGGUCAAUUGAAACUUUGGGACUGAGGUAUAAAAGGAAGGUUCCAUUACCAUCUUGUUUUCAUCACCGGAAAGGACUUUGAGGUUUGAAAGGUUUGCAAAUGGUGCGAAUGAUAGUGGAAUUUGAAAACGGUUUGCUGAAAUAUCUAACUCACGAAGAGAUGUCAAGUUACUGAAACAAUGAGGAAGCAUCCCCUCAAGUGCAUUCCCACUCACAUCCAACACUUCAAGGUUCCUUAGAUCACACCAUCCUGAAAAAUUUAUAAAUUCAUUGAAGAAAUUUUAAUUAAAUUUGAUCCUAUUAAACAUAAUAGGAGAUAUUAUAUCCCAGAAGGCUCAUAAAGAAGUCAAUUUGACCCAUAAAUUUAUUUACCAUGAUUAGGUAAGGGACCGAUAAGUCCACAAUCAUGUAAAGACAAUGUUUUAAGAGAAGCGAAUACUCCAAUGCUUUGCAAAAUGUUGGUGUUGAGAGUAGAUCCGCCAAAAUAUAAUUCCUCCACAUUACUCGACACAUUUAAUUCUAAAGGAUGAGAAGAGGUAUUAGAUGUUAAUCAAACGUAAGCUGUUUUGGAAAAGAAAAUAAUGACUUUCACUUACCUUGAGUAGCCAGAGUCAUGUUCAGAUAAUUGUAUUGUAGAUGAAAGGCUUUAACUGAUGAGAAAGCCUCCACUAAAUUUUGUAAUGGAAUGCUUCCAUCGGUGAAGCGUGAUAAAGAAACAAAACUUUCAAAUUUCUCAAUCCCUUAUUUUCUGUAAGUGAAAGAAAUAUAUAAAUAUUUAUUUUCAUCAAUAAAAUAAAAUUUUAAUAGAGAAUGUCCAAAUCUUAACAUAACUAUUUAUUCAUUUUAUUAAUUAAACUAAUCCCUUUUUUUUUUCUUCUUUUAGCAUUCUAAGAUAAAAUAUAAUUUCAAAAUAAUUUUUUUCUUGAUUCAUAUCAGAUUUAAAUAUGUUUGAAAUUAAUUUAGCAUUUAAUUCCUUAAUAUUAGUAUUUGGUACUAGUAAUGGAGUUUUUUAACUCUACAAGUGAAGUUAAAAAAUGGCCAGUAACCUAUUUCUUUUAAAUAUUUCUUUUUUUAAUAUUUUAUUAUACCAUAUAAUAUAUUUGUUAUUAUCUCAAUCCUACUUAUGAAGUUUAGAAUUUCAUUAAUAGUACCACCCCGAUUUUUUUUAAAAAACCAGAUUUUUUUUAAAAAAAAAUUUGAUAAAAGAAAAGAGUUUCAUUAAUAGUACUAAAUAUUUUCCCUUAAACUUAAUUUACUUUGUACUCAAUUAUAAAUGUUAAGAAAUAUUUUACAAUCUAAUAAAUAAAUUUUUAAUUAAAUUCUCCAUAUUAAAUCAAAAUUUUAAAGCACUAAAUCAUUGCCCUAAAAUUGUCAAAAUACAUCCUUUUGAAUUUUAAAAUUUAUGAAUUCCGAAACAGACUUUCAGCAUCUCAAAUUCUCUAUUUAAAUUUCACCUACAUAGUUUUUUUUUUUUUUUGGAAAUUCUUCAAAAUCUCAUUUAUUUAAAUCAUGGUUCUAUUAUAAGAAAGAAAAUUUUAAACUAAAAAAAUAUUAUUUUUAUUUAAAUCUAAUGUGCAUCUUUUUCUCUUUACAAAAAUAAAUUUUCAAAAUUCAAGUCUAACUAUUAAUAUUGUUGAAAUUAUUUUAUUAAAUCCAUGUUCAUUACGUCAUCUUUUAGUUACAUUGCUAACAAGUUCUUUUAUUUCAAAAUGUCAACACCAAUAAAUUAUUUUUGAAAAAUAACAAUGUUAAUAAUUGAACUUGGAUUUUGAAAUUUAAAAAAUAGAGGGAUCAAAUUCCCAAAAACAAAAAUACAAGAAUUAAAUUACAAAAAAGUUAAAUCACAUUUUUUUAAACCAAAAAGUUAAUAACAUGUGCAUUUUGAAAUUAAUAAAAAAGUUUGAAAAAAAAGUUUAAGCACCUCAAAAUGUAAGUUUAAAUUUCAUAAAAUUGAAGUUUUUUUUUUAAAUUAUUCAAAAUUGAAAUUUAUUUAUUUUUGGCCAAAAAAUGUCAUUUAUUUAACUCUAAUAUGUAUUUUUAUGUUUUAUACUAUUAAAAAUAUAUGAAAUUAAAAUAUAGUUAUAUUACAUAUUAUAAUAUUUUGCAAUCUAAUAAAUAAAUUUUUAAAUUAAAUUCUCCAUAUUAAAUCAAAAUUUUAAAGCACUAAAUCAUUGCCCUAAAAUUGUCAAAAUACAUCCUUUUGAAUUUUAAAAUUUAUAAAUUCCGAAAGAGACUUUCAGCUUCUCAAAUUCUCUAUUUAAAUUUCACCUACAUAGUUUUUUUUGGCAAUUCUUCAAAAUUUCAUUUAUUUAAAUCAUGGUUCUAUUAUAAAAUAGAAAAUUUUAAACUAAAAAAAAUAUUAUUUUUAUUUAAAUCUAAUGUGCAUAUUUUUCUCUUUACAAAAAUAAAUUUUCAAAAUUCAGGUCUAACUAUUAAUACUAUUGAAAUUAUUUUAUUAAAUCCAUGUUCAUUACGUCAUCUUUUAGUUACAUUGCUACCAAGGUUUUUUUAUUUCAAAAUGUCAACACCAAUAAAUUAAUUUUAAAAAAUAACAAUGUUAACAAUUGAACUUGGAUUUUAAAUUUUAAAAAAUAGAGGGAAAUUGACGAAAAUAGAAAUACAAGAAUUAAAUUACAAAUUCGUAAAGAGUACGUAGACCUAUCACAUUUUUUAAACCAAAAGGUUAAUAACAUGUGCAUUUUGAAAUUUAUAAAAAGUUUGGAAAAAAAAUUUUAAGCACCUCAAAAUGUAUGUUUAAAUUUCAUAAAAUUGAAGUUUUUUUUUAAAUUAUUCAAAAUUGACAUUUAUUUAUUUUUGGCCAAAAAAUGCCAUUUAAUUAACUCUAACGUGUAUUUUUAUGUUUUAUGCCAUUUAUUUUACUCAAUUUCAAAAUUCAAGUCUAAUUAUUAAUACUGUUAAAAUUGUUUUAUUAAAUCCAUUUUCAUUAUGUCAUUUUUUAGUUACAUUGCUACCAAAGUUUUUUUUAUUUUAAAAUGUCACACCAACUAAUUAUUUUUAAAAAAAAUUAACAAUUUUAACUAUUGAACUUGGAUUUUAAUUUUUUUUAAUAUUUUAUUAUACCAUAUAAUAUAUUUGUUAUUAUCUCAAUCCUACUUAUGAAGUUUAGAAUUUCAUUAAUAGUACCACCCCAAUUUUUUAAAAAAAACCAGAUUUUUUUUAAAAAAAAUUUGAUAAAAGAAAAUAAUUUUACCAAAUAUUUUCCCUUAAACUUAAUUUACUUUGUACUCAAUUAUAAAUGUUAAGAAAUAUUUUACAAUCUAAUAAAUAAAUUUUUUAAUUAAAUUCUCCAUAUUAAAUCAAAAUUUUAAAGCACUAAAUCAUUGCCCUAAAAUUGUCAAAAUACAUCCUUUUGAAUUUUAAAAUUUAUAAAUUUCGAAAGAGACUUUCAGCUUCUCAAAUUCUCUAUUUAAAUUUCACCUACAUAGUUUUUUUUGGCAAUUCUUCAAAAUCUCAUUUAUUUAAAUCAUGGUUCUAUUAUAAAAUAGAAAAUUUUAAACUAAAAAAAUAUUAUUUUAAUUUAAAUCUAAUGUGCAUAUUUUUAAGUUAAUAACAUGUGCAUUUUGAAAUUUAUAAAAAGUUUGGAAAAAAAAUUUUAAGCACCUCAAAAUGUAUGUUUAAAUUUCAUAAAAUUGAAGUUUUUUUUUAAAUUAUUCAAAAUUGACAUUUAUUUAUUUUUGGCCAAAAAAUGCCAUUUAAUUAACUCUAACGUGUAUUUUUAUGUUUUAUGCCAUUUAUUUUACUCAAUUUCAAAAUUCAAGUCUAAUUAUUAAUACUGUUAAAAUUGUUUUAUUAAAUCCAUUUUCAUUAUGUCAUUUUUUAGUUACAUUGCUACCAAAGUUUUUUUUAUUUCAAAAUGUCACACCAACUAAUUAUUUUUAAAAAAAAUUAACAAUUUUAACUAUUGAACUUGGAUUUUAAUUUUUUUUUUUAAAAAUAGAGGGACUAAAUUCCUAAAAAUAAAAGUAUAAGAAUUAAAUUACAAAUUUAUAAAGAGUAUGUAGACAUAUGUUAAUAACAUGUGCAUUUUGAAAUUUAUAAAAAGUUUGCGAUGGAAGUUUAAGCACCUCUAAAUGUAUGUUUAAAUUUCAUAAAAUUGAAGAUUUUUUUAAAUUAUUCAAAAUUCAUAUUUAUUUAUUUUUGGCAAAAAAAAAUGUGAUUUAUGUAACUCUAAUAUGUAUUUUUAUGUUUUAUACUAUUAAAAAAAUAUGAAAUUAAAAUAUAGUUAUAUUACAUAUUUUCUCAUAAAUAUAUGUUUUUAUUUAUUUGUAAUAUCAUUGUUUUUAUUGUUAUAAUUAUUUUUUAUCUCAUAAAAAUUAAAUAAAUUAUUUUAAAAAAUAUAUUUUUACAAACAAAAUAAUUAUAAACAUUAAUAUUUUAAAAUUAAGAAAAUUUUAAAGAAUUUUAAUUUCAAACUAAAGUUGAAACACAUUAUAAUGGAGGAUUUAGAAAAUGUUUCACCAAACUCAUAUUUUACUUUCAAGUAUGAUAUGAUAUAACUUUAUUAAUAUUUAUGACAAUAACGGUCAUUAUAAUAUCUGAGAUCAAAACUAAAUUUCUAAAUUUAAAAAAAAAAGGAAGUUUAAUUAAAUGAUACCUUGGUGGAUCACCAAAUCUUUCAAUUCAUUAUAUCCCAUAUAUAGUUCCCUUAAGUUGAUGAAUGCUUCCAAAUCUAGGAAAAAAAAAGCAACAAAUCAACUUCAUUAUAUUCUCUUAAAACAUUAUUAUAUUCUUUGUUAAAAAACUAAUAUUUUUACCUUUCGUAUCUAUUGAUCCUUUCAAUUGAUUGUAAUUUAUGCUCAAAGAUUUCAAAUUUGAAAGCUUGUUAAGGGAUGCAAAUACACUAGUAUUGAAGAGAUUGUAAUCUAAAUAAAGCACUUCCAAGUGGGUCAACUCCAAUUUUCUACCACCAUCUACAAAAGAUUUAUAUAAUUUCAUCACUAAAAUGAAUUGGCAUAAAAUUUAAUUAUAUGUAAGAAUUUAGGUAAUUGGUUAAAUAUAAAUGCAUACCUUUAAAGGAUUGAAAGCUUUCAAUUUGAUUCCAACGUAAAUCGAGUUUCUUCAAAUUUGUUAAAUUGCUCAAUCCUAUACAUAUCCAUGUCCAAUUCAAAAAAUCAUUAUGUUAAUAAUUUUAAUUUCUACUUAAUAUUUUAAUGAAAUAAAAAAAAAGUAUAUCUAAAACUUGAAGUGAAGAUGAAAAACCUCAAACGUGAAAUCUGAAUGCUCAAAUUUGAAACAAUUAAUUUUAAAAUGUUCUAGAAAGAAUUAUCAAGAAAAACAAAGUUAUAGCUUUAGUACCUUUAGUAUCUAAUGAGCCUUGCAGACGGUUGUUGUACAAAGUCAAAGACUUUAGGCUUGAAAGCCCCUGAGGAAAGGAAAUUGUGUUGUUCCGAAAGAGAUUAUUACUUAAAUCAAGUUCCUCUAAGUUUGUUAGCCUCCAUUGUGUUCCAUCUAUCAUUGGAAGAAAAUAAUUAGUAUAGUUAAUAUCAUUCAAUAUAUAAAUAGCUAGGAAAAAUGAUUGUUUGAGAAGGAAGAGCCAAUUUACAAGCUUUCCCAUGAAUUGAUAACUACAUUUUACAAGUAAAACUUAAUUGAUUCAACAUAUAAAUACUUUGUUUGAGAUACCUUCCUACUUAAUUUACUCAAUUUUGAAAUAUUGCAACAUUAACUGUCCCUUAAACAAAAAUUGGUUUUAAAGUAAAAAAGAAACAUAUAAAACCAGUCUACCUUUAAUAUGAAUUGACAUAUAAAUACUGUACUUAUACCUUGGUUUGAGAUGCUUUCAAUGUUGUUGUCACUUAAAUCCAAGUAUUUCAAGUUUGUCAAAUUAUUCAACCCUAAAAUUCAAUCCCAAAUAUUGAUUAGUUAUAUAUUCAUCGUAUGAUGAAAUCAAACUUGAAUAUACAUUGAUUUUUAAAGUUGAAAAGAAACAGGUAAAAUCAGUCUACCUUGAAUAUGAUCCAGCCUUCCUUUCAACUGAUUACGUCUCAAUCUUAAAGUCUUCAAGGAUGAAAGAUUUCUCAUAUGGAACAAAAUGCUAUUCUUCAAAGAAUUCCAACUUAAAUCAAGAGUUUCCAAGUUAUUGAGUCUUGAAAGCAAUUGAAAACCUGAUAUAUAUACAUAAUUACUUGUUAAUUUUUUCUUUCUUUCUUAGCUAUAUGAAAAUUUUACUAAAGCAAAAGUAGAAUUACAACGGAUAAAAAGAAUGGAAAACUAGGUACCAAGCCUAGAAGACCAUCCUCAAACUCCACUAUACAAAUAAAAACUAACACUAGACCAAACUUAAUUUACCUCUUAGAUGACCUGAUCCUUCAAAUUUGUUGCUUGAUAAAUUUAAAUACCGGAGAGAUGAAAGCUCACUUAAAGAUAACAAAAUGCUGUCAUUCAAGUAGUUUUCACUUAAGUCAAGGAUCUCCAAAUUACUCAAUGUGGAUGAUAGUUUUCCAAAGCCUGUAGAAGUGUUCUUUUAAAUAUAUACAAGCAGUUAGUAACUUUUCUUCAAUAAAAUAUAAGUAAUUGUAAAUUAUCAAUGGUGAGAAUAGUGGAAUAGUAAAAGAUGUAAUUAAGGAAAAAUUAAAGGCACGACCUUCAUUUUCAAGGUUACCACCCAUGGCAUUUCCCGACAAAUAAAGUCUCUUCAAUUCCUCAAAGGGAAGAAACAUAGAGGCAUUGAGAUACCAGGCAUUGAGAUUCCUAUUAUCCAUGUCGUAUUCCAUAUUGUAUAACCAUAUUGUAGAAUUAAGGGAGAGUUGUAUGAGUCUCCUAGUGGUGGUGUUACACUCAACUCUUUCCCAUUUACAACAAUCUGAACCCUUCACCUCAACCCAACUUUGCAAUUGAUUACCAUAAUUGAAGAAAGGCUUGAGAUGCAAGAGAGCGAUUCUCUCAUGCUCCAAACAAGCAUCAGUAGUACACCAACUGCAUCUUUCUAACACCAACAACAUUACUGCCAUCCUAAUAAACCAUAAGUACCAUUUCCACUCCAUCAUCAUCAUCAUCUUUCUGUUUUCACUUCUCUCUCAGCUAUAUGUUACUUUUUUUUAACUUCUAUAUGUAUAUAAUCUAAAGAAGCCUAAGCUUCUUAUUUAUAUACAAGCAGAACAUACUGCAUCCCACUAAUUCACUAUAAUAUAAAAAUAAUAUAUAAUUAAUUAAUUCCUCAAAAAUUGGAUCAAUCUAGGCUUCUUAUUUACAUAAAUUCCUUAUUGCAAAAACUCUAGGUGGAAAUUCAUUAGGAAAUGAUGAAAGGACUGCAAGAAUGCUUAUCAACCCUUGACUUUGGCAUUCAAUGCUAAAUUUAUUUUAAAAUUUCUUCAUGGAGACAAGAUGGGAUGACAAGAAUGAUAAGUUUUAAGUCAUUUAAGUUUAUCACUCAUAAAAAUAAGUCUUAACAUUCUAUUAAAGAAUUUAAGCAUGGCUCAACGUUGAUUUUAAAUCUAAUGUUGAUGUUAAUCUUGAAAAACGAAUGGCCAAAAAAAUAUGAAAAGUGAGAGGUGGACAUUAAAUCAUGUAGUUGGAGUUAUAAAAUACUUCAUGUGGUUUUCUUGUGAGUUUCAUUUAUACCCUUCUUACACUUAUACAAAGUUAAUCUUGACUUGGCUUUAUUAACGGAAAAUUUAGGUCUUCAUUUUUUGUUUUAUUCAUGGAAAUUUUUAUUCAUGGAAAUUUUACUUCUUUGAUUUUGGUUUUAUUAAUGGAAAUUUUAGGUUUUGAAAGUUUUUUUUUUCCCGGAAGAUUUUGUAAGUUUAAACCAAAUAUGAUUAUAUAAUUUUUACUACUUUCUUUUUAAUAUUUUAAAAACCAAUUAAAUAUUUAAGCAUAUUUUUUUUAGAAAAAUAUUUAAACAUAAAAUAUAUGAAUUUAUUUUAUAAUACAUUUUUACUUUUUUUAAUAUUUAUAUAUAUAGAAGGAUGAAAUUGUAAUUUUAUAUAGUAGAGUGGGAUGGGAUGGAACAAGGAAUUACCGUAACGGCUCCAUAGUCAUUGUCCAAUGGAAAAAAAAAUCCACCCAUCCCACCUUGCUUCCACUUUUCUAAAAAAAAAUCCACUCCAUUCUAAGUAGAUCGUUUCAAAAUUCAUCGGACAGUUCAGGAUUUGCUACCUCUACAUAAACCUCUCCAAACCUUUAAAUUCAUUUAAUUCGAAAUUUGAAAAAGACAUCGAUUUUUUUUAUAUGACUUAAAAUUUUACUUGAAUAUUUUUACAAUUAAUUAAUUAAAUUGGGUUAUUUUAAAAAGCCGCUCUUAACUAAUAGUCGAAAAAAAUUAAAGUUUCCAAUGUAAAAAAAAUUAGUUUUAUGGAAAAAUAAAGUCUUGAAAUAUUACUUUAGGUUUGGAAAUGUUGAACUUGAUAUUAACAUCUGAAAAUUGAUAGCGAAUCGACUUAUAUGUACAAAACUUAUAUUAACUAGAUUUUUAGUGAGUAAUAUGUAAAAAUAACAAGUGGGCAUAACAUUAGACAUAUGAUAAUAUGUUUGUCACACCAAAUCUUGGAGAUAGUAGAACUUAAUGAAUUUACAAAAUAUCAUUUAGUGAGGAUUGAAAUUUUAAAAUUUCAAAAAGCAUAAGAUCUAAAAUAUCAAAUUAAAGUCUAGGAAUUAAAUCUACAACUUCAAUAAAGUACAAAAACUAUAUGGUAGAAUUUAACCUUUAUAUAAUAAUUUCGUUAUGUGAACCACAACUCAAGUACAUUCCAUAAAUAACAUUAAAAAAUUGGUAUGUGUCUUCUUCUUUUUUUAAUAUUCAUUUUUUAACAUUAUAUACUACACCUCUACAAGACAUGUCUCACUCAUCUGAUCCUUCUUAUAGAGUUUAAAAACUCCACCUACUGUGUACUAAAUAUUAAUUAGUCCAAUUACUAUACUAUUCAUGAUUUAAGGAUAAAGAUAAAAUAUAAUAUUUGCUUAAAAAUCUCAAUUAUAUACAUUUGGUGACCCAUUAUGUUGUAAUAUAGCACCAUCUACGAAGUAGUUCGAGGAAAUUGUUAAGAAAAUAUUAUUACAUAUAUCAACAAUCACAUAAUUCAUUGCAUUAACUUUCAAAUGUUGACUAUUGACUUCUGCGUCAACCUUGAUCUUAUAUAGGCCCCCUAAUAAUUUAGGUUGUGUAAAUAAUCUCACAUUUAAUGCCUGAGAAAUUAUUAUAGAUGAAAUUAUAGUUUUAAUCCCUAUAUUUACUCACAUAAAUAAUGUUCCUCGAUCAAAUUAAGUGCUCUCAAUGAUUAAUACAAGAGCCUAUACAAGUCUCUUAAUUAUAUAAAGAUUUUAAGAUUUGCUAACCUAAUGAAGAUCAUUCACAAUCCCUUCUAAAAGAUAGCUAAAAUAGUUGAAUACAAUAUAAUAAUAACAACUAAGGCAAUAUGAGCUGUUGGCAAAUAAGGUAUUAAUGUUUCGAUCUGAUCCAACUUCCUCAAUCUAAGGGAUUAGAUAGGCUUGAUCCGAUCCUAUUUAACUUGAUCCUUCAAAUAAGUUUCUCCAAGUACUAUGAUAUUCAUUGAUGGACUUGAUAUAACCCACGAUAUCAACUCAACCCAAAGAUAUGGUUCAAUAAAUUGCCAAACUCCUAAAUGUGGGAAGUUGUUUAAUGUGCCUAUGUGCCGCAAUGGUAAAGGAUGUGGGCACUUCCUCACACACAUCGCAACAACUCUAAAUUUUUCAACAGAAAUGAAUAUAAUUUUUAACAGAAUGAUCAAUUAAUUUUUUUUAUCAAACAUACAUGUAACGUCUUAAAAUUUUAAUUUUGGGUAUUGUGAAUGUGUGACACAAAAUAUCUGUUUACUUUAGUGGUUAUGUGCUUUAGGUGUGUUUGGGAGGUCCUAAGUUCUAGCCAGAACUUGGGCAAAAUUUGGUAUUUUUAUGAAUAGACCUAUCUUUGGUCAGUAGGCUUUUAAGUAAAAGUUAGCAAAUAAUUAACAGAAUGGGUCUGCUGAUCUGAUGGAUAAGUGGAGUGUUAGAGUGUUGGAGGUCUUGUGUUCAAAUCUUGGCGUGGACAUUAUUUUUGCUCGUGCGUCCAGGAGAGUUUGAGAUGGACUAAAAAUCUGAGUAGUGGAUUUAGUGGGGAGUUUGAUGGAGAAAAAUAAGGGAUUGGGGUGGUUAUCAAAUAUUUUGUUCAUUUUUUUCUCUCUUUCUUUUUUUUUUACUUUCCCCAAAAUCCGUCCACUCUCUUGCCGUUAUUCUCUUCAUUGCUGCAGAAUUUUUGCUUUCUUUCACCCUUUAUCUUCUUGAUUUUUCUUUUCCCACUCUGCCUCGUGUCACUCCAUGUUUAUUUGCGAUCGUUUUGUAAGUUUUAGAUAAGUGAUUUGUCUCUGUUUGUUAACUUUCUUCUGAAGUGUUUUGUUUAUGCCAAAUAAGGAAGGAUUCAAUGGCUCGUAAUCACCAAUUGGAGUCUUAGUUUUUGUGGGAAUUCUUGUUCAUCAGUUGAAGGUAAGAUUUAGUCGCUUAUGGGUUAAAAUCUUGAUACGAGUUCGAUUUAGGAUCACGUUAUAUGAGAUUAAAUUGAUGUUAUUUUUUUAAUUAUAGGAUUUGGAGUGCUCGGGGACUGUUUUAGCAUCAAACAAAACUAGGUGUGUACCCGUAAUGCAAAAAUAAGGGAUUCGGUAAAAUGCUAAAAUUGCCUACUGUUUGGACAAAAGCAGUAGGCUGAAUUUAAAAAAUCACCAUAAAUUGUGAAAAUCAAAUUUUAUGCAAUAUAACUCCACACAGAAAUGGAUUUCCCUCAUAACUAUUUUCAAUAAAGGUCCCAAAUUGAGCUUUUGGUUCGGGAAUACUACCUGACAAGUUGUUGUAUGCCACGCUGAAAACCUCCAAAGAGUUCAACUCUACCAAUUGAUUGGGGAUUUCACCACUCAAGUUGUUGUAAGAAAGGUCCAAACUCUCAAUUUGAUGAAGUUUUGAGAAUGACGAGGGUAUAACUCCGGUCAACUUAUUGUGUGAAAGGUUUAAAGAAUGGAUUUCACUCAAGUUCCCUAAUUCUGGUGGGAUAUGACCAGUUAAGUUGUUGCAAGAUAAAUCAAUCCCAGUCAUAUAUGAAAGGAUAUCGCCCUUGUACGAAUAGAACCCACUCUUUGUUGUGAAUUCUAUUACUUCUUCUAAGUAGCUUGUAGGAUAGUAGGGAUUUAUAUCCCUUACCAAUUUUCUCAUUGCAAUGGAUGUUGAUUCAUCCCUUUCUAUAAAUGGAAGGUAGAGCUUAGUUGUUAGACUCUCUUUCUCUUUCAAUGGAAGAGAUAAAUUUCCCAAACAAGAAGGUAUAGGACCAGAAAACAUAUUUUGAGAAAGAUCUAUGAUGCUUAAAGAGUGCAACUUGCAUAACUGAACUGGAACUUCACCGUGAAAAUGAUUAUCUUUCAGAAGAAGAACACUCAAAGAAGAAAGUGUGUCAAUCCAUUUUGGAAUAUUACCUGUCAAAUUGUUUCCCCUAAGAUCUAAAGUCACUAGAGAAAAGCUAUUAUAAAAAGCAAGUGAUAGUGGACCUCUAAGUCUAUUUCCGUGGAGGUGGACAUGCUCUAUGUUUGGUGGAUUAAAACAUGACGGUAUAGAUCCAGAUAAAUGAUUUUGGGAAAGAUCCAAAAAGUCCAAGCUAUUCAACUUGCAAAAUUCCAUUGGAAUAAAACCCUCGAAACCAUUGUUGGACAAAACUAAUCUCUCCAAAAACGAUGCAUUCCCUAUCCAUCUUGGGAGCUUUCCAUGCAACUUGAUUAGGUAAGGGACCAAUAAGUCCACAAUCAUAUAAAGGCAGGGUUUUAAGAGAACUGAAUACUCCAAUGCAUUGUAAAAUGUUGGUGUUGAGAGUAGAAUAGUCAAGAUAUAUUUCCUCCACAUUGCUUGACACAUUUAAUUCUAAAGGAUGAGAAGAGGUAUUAGAUGUUAAUCGAACGUAAUCUGUUUUGGAAAAGAAAAUAAUGACUUUCACUUACCUUGAGUAGCCAGAGUCAUGUUCAGAUAACUGCCUUAUAGAUAAAAGGUUUUAACUGAUGAGAAAGCCUCCACUAACUUUUGUAAUGGAAUGCUUCCAUCGGUGAAAACUUGAUCAAGAUCAACAACUUUCAAAUUUCUGUAAGUGGAAGAAAUAAAUAAAUAUUUGUUUUCAUCAAUAAGAUAAAAGUUUAAUAGAGAAUGUACAAAUCUUAACAUAACUAUUCAUUCAUUUUAUUAAUUAAUAAACUAAUCCUUUUUUAGCAUUCUAAGAUAAAAUAAAAUUUCAAAAUAAUUUGAUCUUGAUUCAUAUCAGAUUUAAAUAUAUGAGCAUAUUCUUUUAAAAACUCAAAUAUGUUUGAAAUCAAUUUAGCAUUUAACCUUAAUGUUAGUUUUUGGUACUGGAAAUGAAGUUUUUUAACUCUACAAGUGAAGUUAAAAAAUGGCCAGUAACCUAUUUAUUUUUUAAUAUUUUACUAUACCAUAUAAGAUAUUUGUUAUUAUCUCAAUCCUACUUAUGAAGUUUAGAAUUUCAUUAGCCCUUAAACUAAAUUUACUUUGUACUCAAUUACAAAUGUUAAGAAAUAUUUUACAAUCUAAUAAAUAAAUUUUUUAAUUAAAUUCACCAUAUUAAAUAAAAAUUUUAAAGCACCUAAAAUUGUCAAAUACAUUCUUUUGAAUUUUAGAAUUUAUGAAUUCCGAAACAGACUUUCAGCAUCUCAAAUUCUCUAUUUAAAUUUCACCUACAUAGUUUUUCUAGAAAUUCUUCAAAACUUCAUUUAUUUAAAUCAAUGGUUCUAUUAUAAAAUAGAGAAUUUAAAACUAAAAAGAUAUUAUUUUUAUUUAAAUCUAAUAUGCAUAUUUUUCUCUUUACAAAAAAUAAAUUUUCAAAAUCCAGGUCUACUAUUAAUACUGUUGAAAUUAUUUUAUUAAAUCCAUAUUCAUUUCAUCAUCUUUUAAUUACAUUGUUAUCAAGUUCUUUUAUUUUAAAAAAAUAUCACACUUUUUAGUUGUUUACAGAAUCAUAAUGUUAAUUAGAGUGGAAUAUUUCAGAUUUCUGAUGAUGAGCAUAUUCUUGAGUAUUGCAGUAAAAAAAUGGGUGUGGAACUUAUUUGAACUUUGAAUAUAAACGAACGUGUCAAAAAUUUAAGUACAACGAAUUAUUAACAUGUAAAUGUAUAAUACGGUAUGCAAAAAUAAGAUAAUUGCUUGUUUUUUUAAUUGAAUUGUUAUAACACAUUAUACACAAUACAUUGUGAAUUAAAGCAUAACAUAAAGAAUUGCAUUGUUUGUGAGGUUUUAAAAUAUUCUAGUUUUAGAUUCAAUUUUCUAGUAUGUUUGGUUUAAUUUUACAUUAGAUUUCCUUUUCAGUAUGCACUAGUGAAUACUUGGCAGUCAAUUUAAUUUAAUUUAAAGAGAUAUUGCAUAUACAUAGAAGAAAAAAGAAAUAGAUGGUUGAAAAUGAUUAAACCAUAAGAUAAAAGAGCUUUUAUUCAAAAUGCAAAAAUCAACAAAAUAUUAAUUAUCGCUCAACUUAGCAUAAUUAAACAUUUAGGUGUGAAAAUCAAAUCACAAUUUGAGUAGCUAAACAUAUCGCUUGAAAAUGUGAUAAGUAAGAAACUUGCCCACAUUUGAGUAGCGACAGGUGGUGAUGCAUUUCCCAACGAGAGAAAACCAAGCUCUUUGCCAGUAUGGAUUUAUGUAGAGGACAACAAAAAUUGUCAACAACACAACUACAUAAGAAACCAAAAAGCUCACACAAAAAUCACCUAUCAAACCAUCUUCUCCUUUAUCUUCUGAUACAGUUAAUAUCGUUGAUGGCGAAUCGAUUUUGGAACAACUUUUAUGCAAUAUAGCUCCACAAAGAAAAGGAUUUCCCUCAUAACUGUUUUCAAUAAAGGUCCCAAAUUGAGCUUUUUCGGGAAUACUACCUGACAAGUUGUUGUAUGCCACGCUGAAAACCUCCAAAGAGUUCAACUCUACCAACUGAUUGGGGAUUUCACCACUCAAAUUGUUGUAAGAAAGGUCCAAACUCUCAAUUUGAUGUAGUUUUGCGAAUGACGAGGGUAUAACUCCUGUCAACUUAUUGUGCGACAAGUUUAAAGAAUGGAUUUCACUUAAGUUCCCUAAUUCUGGUGGGAUAUGACCAGUUAAGUUGUUGCAAGAUAAAUCAAUCCCGGUCAUAUAUGAAAGGAUGUUGCCCUCGUACAAAAAGAUCCCACUCUUUGUUGUGAACUCUAUUACUUCUUCUAAGUAGCUGUCAGGAUAGGAAGAAUCUAUUCCCAAAUUUAGUAUCAUACUGCGUGUUGUUUCAUCCUCUUCUAUAGGCCCAUAGAACUCAGUGUCUAGAAUCUUCUUCGUUUGCAUUAGAAGAGAUAAAUUUCCCAAGCAAGAAGGUAUAGGACCAGAAAACAUAUUUUGAGAAAGAUCUAUGAUGCUUAAAGAAUGCAACUUGCAUAACUCAACAGGAACUUUACCAUGAAAAUGAUUAUCUUUCAAGAGAAGAACACUCAAAGAAGAAAGCGUGUAAAUCCAUUUUGGAAUACUACCUGUCAAAUUGUUUCCUCUAAGAUCUAAACUCACUAUUGAAGAGCUAUUAUAAAAAGCAAGCGACAGUGGGCCUCUCAGUCUAUUCCCGUGGAUGUGGACAUGCUCUAUGUAUGGUGGAUUAAAACAUGACGGUAUAGAGCCAGAUAAAUUAUUCUGAGAAAGAUCCAAAAAUUCCAACCUAUUCAACUUGCAAAAUUCCAUUGGAAUAGAACCUUCAAAACCAUUAUUAGACAAAUCUAAUCUCCACAAAAAUGAUGCAUUCCCUAUCCAUCUUGGGAGCUUUCCAUGCAACUUGUUGUUACUGAGAUCAAUUUGGCUUAGUGAAUAUGGAAACUCAAAAGUAGAGGCAUUAACAUUUGUCAUCUCUCCUGAAAAAUUAUUUCCAUCCAAAUAUAAAUUCUCCACCCCAUUCGCGCUGAGAAUCACAGGAACUACAUUUCCACUGAAGUUGUUAUUUGAUAGUUUCAAAAUGAUCAGUGAGCCUUUCGUGAUCAACUCUUCUGGUACUUUUCCAUACAAUUGAUUGUUUGAUAGAUCUAAAAAUGAUAAGUACUUCAUGCCACUUAAACAAAGUGGGAUAUUACCUUCAAAAGCAUUCUUGGAUAAGAGUAACCGCCUCAAAUGUGGAAAAGUUGAACAUAUACCAGUCGGAAUUUGACCUUGUAAUUUGUUUUCAGAUAUGUCAAUUGAAGAUACAUUAGAAAUAAGAGCUGACGAACGUGAGAGAGGACCUGUAAAUGAAUUACCCUUCAAGAUGAGUUCUUCUAACUUUGUGUUGUUUUCUAGCAACCAAGUUGGUAAAGUUCCACUGAGAUUGUUAUGAGAAAGAUCCACAUAUCUCAAGUCAUAUUGGUAGUAAAGGAAGGUAGGAACUUUUCGACUGAGUUGUUGAGAUGUUAUGCACUUUGACAAACUGAUGACUUCCAAUUGGAACUUUGGGAUUGAGGUAUAAAAGGAAGGUUCCAAUACCAUUUUGUUUUCAUUACUGGAGAGGGCUUUGAGGUUUGAAAGGUUUGCAAAUGGUGCAAAUGACAGUGGAAUUUGAAAAUGGUUUCUUGAAAUAUCUAACACACGAAGAGAUGUCAAGUUACUAAAACAAUGAGGAAGCAUCCCCUCAAGUGCAUUCUCACUCACUUCCAACACUUCAAGGUUCCUUAGAUCACACCAUCCUGAAAAUUUUAUAAAUUCAUGGAAGAAGUUUCAAUUAAAUCUUGUUUUAUAAAACAGAAUAGGAUAUAAUAUAUUACAGAAAGCACAUACAGCAAUCAAUUUGAGCCAUAAAAUUAUUUACCUUGAUUAGGUAAGGGACCAAUAAGUCCACAAUCAGAUAAAGACAAUGUUUUAAGAGAAGCAAAUACUCCAAUGCUUUGCAAAAUGUUGGUGUUGAGAGUAGAAUUGUCAAGAUAUAUUUCCUCCAAAUUGCUCAACACAUUUGAAUCUAAGCAAUGUCAAGAGGUAUUAGAUAACGGUAUUAUAGAAAGCCUCUACUAAGUGAAAUGCUUUAUUUUCUGUGAAUGAAAUGAAAUAUAUAAAUUUUUUUUAUGAGUGUUAGACUAUUCAUGAUUAUCUGAGAUAAAUUUUGAUGGAGAGAAGAUGUUGAAACUUUAAUAUAACUCUUCAUCCAUUUUAUUAAUUAUACUAUUUUUUUUCUUUUUAGUAUUUUCUUAUAUUAUUUUUUAAUAUAAGUAAUUAACUGAUAUGGCUAAUUUGUAUAAUUUUCAAACUCCAAUCAACAACACUAUAAAUAAUAUUUAUAAAAUAAAACAUUUCUACACUAAAAUUAUUAUAUUACCUUUAAAGUUACCAAUACUUUAAAAAAAAAUAAAAAUAGGUAUUUUACUCACCAAUAAAUAAAAUUCAAAAAUAUAUUUAUAUAUGAAAUUAAAAAAUUUAUAUGUAUUUUUACUUUAAAAAAAUAAAAACAGGUAUUUUACCAAUACUCUAAUAUGUAUUUUUAUGUUUUAUACUAUUAAAAAUAUAUGAAAUUAAAAUAUAGUUAUAUUACAUAUUUUCUCAUAAAUAUAUGUUUUUAUUUAUUUAUAAUAUCAUUUUUUUAUUGUUAUAAUCAUUUUUUAUCUCAUAAAAAUUCAAUAAAUUAUUUUAAAAAAUAUAUUUAUACAAACAAAAUAAUUAUAAACAUUAAUAUUUAAAAAUUAUGAAAAAUUUAAAGAAUUUUAGUUUCAAACCAAAGUCGAAACACAUUAUAAUGGAGGGUUUAGAAAAUGUUUCACCAAACCCAUAUUUUACUUUCAAGUAUGAUAUGAUAUAACUUUAUUAAUAUUUAUGACAAUAACUGUUAUUAUAAUAUCUGAGAUCAAAACUAAAUUUCUAAAUUAAAAAAGAAAAGGAAAUUUAAUUAAAUGAUACCUUGGUGGAUCACAAAAUCUCUCAAUUCAUUAUAGCUCAUAUCUAGUUCCCUUAAUUUGAUAAAUGCUUCCAAAUCUAGGAAAACAAAAACAACAAAUUAAUCAACUCCAUUAUAUUCUCUUAAAACAUUAUUAUAUUCUUGUUAAAAAACUAAUAUUUUUACCUUUCAUAUCUAUUGAUCCUUUCAAUUGAUUGACCCUUAUGCUCAACGAUUUCAAAUUUGAAAGCUUGUUAAGGGAUGCAAAUGCACUAGUAUUGAAGAGAUUUCCAUCUAAAUUAAGCUCUUCCAAGUGGGUCAACUCCAAUUUUCUACCACCAUCUACAAAAGAUUUAUAUAAUUUCAUCACUGAAAUGAAUUGGCAUAAAAUUUAAUUAUAUGUAAGAAUUUAGGUAAUUGGUUAAAUAUAAAUGCAUACCUUUAAAGGAUUGAAAGCUUUCAAUUUGAUUCCCACUUAAAUCGAGUUUCUUCAAAUUUGUUAAAUUGCUCAAUCCUAUACAUAUCCACGUCCAAUUUAAAAAAUCAUUAUGUUAAUAAUUUUAAUUUCUACUUAAUAUUUUAAUGAAAUAAAAAUGAAAAAGAAAGUAAAUCUAAAACUUGAAGUGAAGAUGAAAAUCCUCAAACGUGAAAUGUGAAUGUUCAAAAUUAAAACAAUUGAUUUUAAAAGGUUCUAGAAAGAAUUAUCAAGAAAAACAAAGUUAUAGCUUUAGUACCUUUAGUAUCUAAUGAGCCUUGCAAACUGUUCGACCUCAUAUUCAAGGACUUUAGGCUUGAAAGCCCUUGAAGAAAGGAAAUUGUGUUGUUCCGAAAGAGAUUACCACUCAAAUCAAGUUCCUCUAAGUUUGUUAGCCUCAAUUGUGUUCCAUCUAUCAUUGGAAGAAAAUAAUAUCAUUCAAGAUAAAAAUAGUUAGGAAAAAUGAUUGUUUGAGAAGGAAGAGGCAAUUUACAAGCUUUCCCAUGAAUUGAUAACUACAUUUUACAAGUAAAACUUAAUUGAUUCAAUAUAUAAAUACUUUGUUUGAGAUACCUUCCUAUUUUGAAAUACUGCAACAUUAACUGUCCCUUAAACAAAAAUUGGUUUUAAAGUGAAAAAGAAACAUAUAAAAGCAGUCCACCUUUAAUAUGAAUUGACAUAUAAAUACUGUACUUAUACCUUGGUUUGAGAUGCUUUCAAAUUUCAAUUCUGUUCCAACUUAAAUCCAAGUAUUUCAAGUUUGUCAAAUUAUUCAAUCAUAAAAUUCAAUCCCAAAUAUUGAUUAGUUAUAUAUUCAUCGUAUGAUGAAAUCAAACUUGAAUAUACAUUGAUUUUUAAAGUUGAAAAGAAACAGGUAAAAUCAGUCUACCUUGAAUAUGAUCCAUCCUUCCUUUCAACUCAUUACCACUCAAUCUUAAAGUCUUCAAGGAUGAAAGAUUUCUCAUAUGGAACAAAAUGCUAUUCUUCAAAGAAUUCCAACUUAAAUCAAGAGUUUCCAAGUUAUUGAGUCUUGAAAGCAAUUGAAAACCUGAUAUAUAUACAUAAUUACUUGUUAAUUGUUUUUUUCUUUCUUUGCUAUAUGAAAAUUUUACUAAAGCAAUAGUGGAAUUACAACGGAUAAAAAGAAUGGAAAACUAGGUACCAAACCCAGAAGACCAUCCUCAAACUCCACUAUACAAAUAAAAACUAACACCAGACCAAACUUAAUUUACCUCUUAGAUGACUUGAUCCUUCUAAUUUGUUGUGUGAUAGAUCUAAAUACCGGAGAGAUGAAAGCUCACUCAAAGAUAACAAAAUGCUGUCAUUCAAGUAGUUUUCACUUAAGUCAAGGAUCUCCAAAUUACUCAACGUGGAUGAUAGUUUUCCAAAGCCUAUAGAAAUAUUCUUUUAAAUAUAUACAAGUUAGUGACUUUUCUUCCAUAAAAUAAAAUAAAAUAUAAGUAAUUGCAAAUUAACGAUGGUGAGAGUAGUGGAAUAAUAAAAGAUGUAAUUAAGGAAAAACUAGAGGCACGACCUUCAUUUUCAAGAUUACCACUUAUGGCAUUCCCCGACAAAUAAAGACUCUUCAAUUCCUCAAAGGGAAGAAACAUAGAGGCAUUGAGAUACCAGGCAUUGAGAUUCCUAUUAUCCAUGUCGUAUUCCCAUUUUGUAGAAUUAAGGGAGAGUUGUAUGAGUCUCCUAGUGGUGGUGUUACACUCAACUCUUUCCCAUUUACAACAAUCUGAACCCUUCACCUCAACCCAACUAUUCAAUUGAUUACCAUCAUUGAAGAAAGGUUUGAGAUGCAAGAGAGCGAUUCUCUCAUGCUCCAAACAAGCAUCAGUAGUACACCAUCUGCAUCCUUCUAACACCAACAACAUUACUGCCAUCCUAAUAAACCUUAACCAUUUCCACUUCAUCAUCAUCAUCAUCUCUCUGUUUUCACUUCUCUCUCAGCUAUAUGUUACUUUUUUUUAACUUCUAUAUGUAUAUAAUCUAAAGAAGCCUAAGCUUCUUAUUUAUAUACAAGCAGAUGCAUCCCACUAACUCACUAUAAUGUAAAAAUAAUAUAUAAUUAAUUAAUUCCUCAAAAAUUGGAUCAAAAUCUAGGCUUCUUAUUUACGUAAAUUAUUUAUUGCAAAAACUCUUAGUGGAAAUUCGUUAGGAAGGGAUGAAGGGGCCACAAGAAUAUUGAUGUUAAUCUUGAAAAACGAAUGGCCAAAAAAAUAUGAAAAGUGAGAGGUGGACAUAAAAUCGUAUAGUUGGGAUUGCAAAAGUCUUCAUGUGGCUUUCUUGUGAGUUUCAUUUAUACCCUUCUUACACUUAUACAAACUUAGUCUUGACUUGGCUUUAUUAAUGGAAAAUUUAGGUCUUCAUUUUUGGUUUUAUUCAUAGAAAUUUUACUUCUUUGAUUUUGGUUUUAUUAAUGGAAAUUUUAAGUCUUCAGUUUGCUUUUAUUCUUGCACAUUUUAGGUUUUGAUUUUGAAAAUUUAGUUUUUUCAUCUCUAUUAUUAUAAAAUUUCUUAAUUUAAUUAAUAUCAUGAGUUAAUUUAAUACUUUAAAAAAUAAAAUAUUACAUUCACUAUUUUUUAAAAAAUAAAAGUAACUAUAAAAUUUUAUUAUUUAUAUAAUAUUUAAAAAAAAACUAUUUAUUUCUACUAGACCACUACUUUAAAACUAUCCAUUAUCAUAUUGUAAUAGGCCCAAUUUGCCCGGGCCCGGUAAAUAAAUAAAACCAAUAAAAUCAAAUAAAAAAUAGUCCCAAAACAGUCCAUUUACAAUGACCCAAUACCAACCCAAUGGCCUAAAUCUCUACCCAAGCCCGAAUCUAAACCUAAACAGGCCCAAAACCCACUAAACCUAAUGGCCCAAUACCCAGCUUGGCUGAGACAAACCCUAGCCUUCAGCAGCUUUCUGCUCUUGCGCUGCAGCCAAGCCGCUCCUCACGUACGAGCCUCAUUCAUGCGCCGCACCGAGCAACGCCAUCGCCAGGGACCACGCCUGUACUGUGCCACGCGAGCCUCCGUACAUGCGCGCCCGUUCACCUCUGUACCAGUACCUGCAAAUACACACAAGAAGCAGCGAAGCAACAAAAAAAAAGAGAAAAUAGCAGUAGAAAAAUAGGGGAUUUUCAGUUUUUAUUUGAUUUUUCUGGCUAUAAAAGCCAAACACGCAGAUUGUAUCAUAGGGGGAACUCACGCAUAUUGCAAAAAAACAAGGGGCAGAAAAUCAAUACAAAAAAAAAAAGAAAAGGUUUUCUCUUCCUUCAGGUCUCUUUUCUUCUCCAAUUGUUUCUUUUCUUUUUCGAUUGUUAUUAGCCUCAUAUAAGUAUAGAUAUAUAUAGAGUAAAUAAUAACAAAAAGGGGGGGUUAAAACGUACCUGGUGAUGCCUUUGAAUCCACGCGAAGAAGCCAAAAAGCCUUGAAUGGUGAGGCUCCGACCACCAUUCGCAGUGGAAUCAAGGCGGAGGGGCGGACUGACGGCACUGAAGACUAGGGUGAAACCCUAGCAGAGGAAACAAUAAGCAAUUUUUUUUAAAAACGAGUCUGCUAAUGUUUUUUUUAGGGUAAAUUUUGUUUAAAUAAUGAUACAAUACGGAGCCGUUUUGGGCUAGGGUUCCUAGCGUCCAAACGACGUCGUUUAGAGGCCUUACCCAAUGACCCGAUCCAGAUGGCGGCUAGAUCCGCGUGUUUGGUAGGGGGAGGGGAAAUUUCGCGAAGAGUCCCUCUUGUUUUGUGCCGUUUCGGUUUGAUUUUCUUCAUUGUUUUUAAUUUGAAUCGCGUAUUUUAUUUUGUUUUCAAUUUGAUCCACAGUUAAACGGCGCCGUUUUCACUAAUCGGAUUUGAGCAUCCGAACAUUUGUGUUUAUUUUCUGUUUUAGUCCUCUCUGUUAUUUUUUAUUAUGAUUUUUACCCUCCUAUUUUAUUUUCACCCUAAUUUAGUCCCGAAACUGUUAGAUUUCACUUUAUUUAUGCAAUGUAUAUAUUUAUUUAUUUUAAACUUUAUAUUAUUUAUUUUAAAUCGUUCUAUUACUAUUUAUUUUAAGCCUUUUUUACAUAUUAUAUGUUUUAAAUUAUGUUAAUCAAUUAUUCAUUUUAAAUAUAUAUUAUUUAUGUUAAACUACAAAUGUAUAUUAUUUAUUUGGAAUUGUUCUUAUGCACAUCAUGCAUUAUCAUUUUUAAAAAAAUAAUAAUAAUAGAAUUUGUUUGCAUAUUGUUCAUUUAGGAUUCCUUCUCACACAUUACUUAUUUUAAACGUUUUACAUAUUAUUUUAAAUUGUUUUAUAUGUUUUUUUUUAAAUGCUUUGAAGAUUAUUCAUUUUAACUUGUUUUACACAUUAUUUUAAUAUGUAUGGAAUUGCUUUAAUAUAUAUAUACGUGAAUAAAACGUAUUGUAACUGGUAAUUUCUAAAAUUUUAUUCUACGUUUUAAAAUUUUUAUCAUUUCGAUUAUGUUGAUUGGUUUACUUGGGAUUAAAUUAUUAUUGCAUUGAUUAUUCUUUUUUUUGAUUUUUUUGUUAGAUUGAUUAUUAGUUUAUUUGAUUAUCAAUGUUGAUGUAUUAUAUGUUUGGUUGCUCCAAAUUGUAAAUUUAGCUUGCUAUUCACCAUUUGAUUAGUAUAUUGAUAUUUUAUUAUAUUGUUUGUAAAAAUUGCAUUUCAUUAAAGCAUUACAAUUGUUUUAUUUCAAAAUUCUCAAAAAGCUUGGUAUUUAAAAAUUCUCGAGAGGAUUGUGCCCUAACUUACUGGGCUUACCUUUUUUAAUUUGAACAUAGAAGUUUCAAAAUAAAAGCUCAUUCUCGGGAAUUUGACACGUUGUGUCCUAACGCAUUGAAUAUGACUAUUAUUUUCUCGAGAUGAGGAUUUUAAGGCAAUGUUCGAUAUUUAGGAAUUUUGUGAAAUCGAACCCUAACUUACUGGGUUUUGAUUUUCUCAUUUGACCCAGAUAAUCGGACAUCCUCCUCAAAAUGCAUAGGUUUUAAAAGACGAGAGAUAAACUUAACUUGGAGGACUUAAAAUGUUGCACUCUAACUUACUAAGGGUGACGAUUUAUUUCUUUGAAAUAAGUGAGUCUCGUCGUCCAAUUCAUUUUAUUCAAAAUAAAAGGAUCAAAUUUUAAAAUCUUUUCAAAAUUUUGACAUUAAGACAUUAAACAUUCCAAUCGGUACCAAUUUUGGGCGUCACGAGGGUGCUAACCCUUCCUCGUGCGUAACCAACUCCCGAACCCGUUUUCUCAAAAAUUCGCAGACCUAAAAUUAUUUUCAAGGUGAUCCGCACACCACAAUAAAAGAUCGGUGGCGACUCCAUUUCCAUUUUCAAAAUUGAUCCCCAUUUUUCAAAUUACAAAAAAAUGGCUUCGACACAUAUAACUUCUCUUUAAUAAUUCACUAUUCUUUGAACAUUCAUUAGUUUUUGAAACAUAAAAUUUAUAAAUAAUUAUUUUUAGAGUAAACUACACCCAUGGUCACUUUUGUUUACCUUAGGUUACAUUUCAGUCACUUAUGUUUGAAAUGUUACGUUUUAGUCACUUAAGUUAUUGUGUUGUAACAUUUUAGUCACUGAGCCGUUAGUUGUCGUUAAUGGCUGACGUGGCACGUUAAAUUAUCAUUUCAAACAAAAACUUUAGGUUAAAUUAUACAAUUGGUUUCCAUAAUUUUUCGUUUUGAGCAAUUUAAUUCUUUUAUGCUCUUUAACUUUCUUUCUUUUUUUUCUUUAUUUUCCAUUCUCUUCUGCUUCUCCCUGUUUUCCUACAUUCUUUAUUUCUUUUAACAUAUCAGGAAGUCGAAUUGGUAGUGAAGAAAGAAGCAUGGUAUGGGUUUAUGGGCUUUGGUUAUGGGCAAAUGAUGACAGUCGACUUCCUACUUCUUUUUUCACUGUCAAUUCGACUUCCUAAUAUGUUAAAAGAAAUGGGAAAAGUAUGAAAACAGAGAGAGAAACAAAAAAGAAUGGAAAAAAAGAGGAAAGUUUAAAGAACAUAAAAGAAAAAAAAUUAAAUUACUUAAAACGAAAAAAAUAUGGGGAUCAAUUGUAUAAUUUAACCUAAAAUUUUGUUUGAAAUGAUGAUUUAACGUGCCACGUCAGCUUACCGUUACACCAUUAACGACGAUUAAUCGCUCAGUGACUAAAAUUUUACAACAUGAUAACAUAAAUGACUAAAACGUAACAUUUUAAACAUAAGUGACUAAAACGUAACCUAAGGUAAAUAAAAGUGACCAUGGGUGUAGUUUACCCUUAUUUUUAAUAUGACUUGAUUUUUACUUGAAUCAUUUUUGUAAUUAGUUAAUUAAAUUGGGUUAUUUUAAAAAAAUCCUCUUAACUAAUAGCCAAAAAAAAAAAAGCCAUCAUGUAGAAAAUUCUGGUUUGUUGGAAAAAUAAAGACUUGACCUAUUACUUUAGAUUUUGAAAUGUUCAACUUGAUAUUGACAUAUGAUAAUAUGUACAAAUUUCUCAUUCUUUUAAAUUUCAGUGAUAUUACAUGUAUGAUAAUAUGUUUGCCACACCAAAUUUGAAAAUAGUAGAACUUAAUGAAUUUAACAGAUAUCUAAAAUAUCAAAUUAAAGUCUAGGAAUUAAAGCUACAACAUCAGUAAAGUACAAGAACUAUGGUAGAAUUAAACCUUUAUAUAAUAAUUUCCUUCUAUGAACCACAAUUCAAGUGCACCCGACAAGCUAAUUAAUAAAAAUUUAGUGGUAGAAUAUGUAUAUUCUUGUGGGUGGAAAUUUAGUGGAGAUGCCCAUCAUCUUUCCUAAUUAAUAAAAAUGAAGACUUAGAAAAUGUGCAAUCAUAAUCCUAGUUGUCGUUAUGGCCCCAAGAAUAGGUAUAUUAAUUUGUCUCUCUUCAGGAUCAAAGAUAAAUAAUAAAUUUUAUAAAGUUAAAACCAUAAUUCUAUAAUUAUAUUAAUGUAUAAUUUCAUAAAAUUUUAAAAAAUGUAUCUUUCAACUUUUUUAAGUAAAUUGAUAAUUCGUUAACUCAUAAUAUUUUUUUUUUCAAAAUAUUUAUGAGAACGAGUUCGUAUUCUAUUGUGUGGAAAAUUUUAGUACAGAUAUUGGUGAAGCCAAAUCCAACUUGUUUGACCAAGAAAGUCUCUGUCGUGUGGAAAAUUUUAGUUUUGUGGAAAAUGGACAUUACCAUUUCCUUGAAUGACCAUCAAUUUCUCCAUUGAGAUAUAGUAAGAGGGAGUGAAAUAUAUAUAAGGUAAUAUUUAAUGUAUUCACACCAAAUUUCAUUAAUGAGUAAAACAAAUAAUGAAUAAUAAUGAAAAUUGGAGGAAAUUGUUAAGAAAAUAUCAUUACAUAUAUCAACACUCACAUAAUUCAUUGUAUUAACUUUCAAAUGUUGACUAUUGACUUCUACAUCAACCUUGAGCUUAUAUAGGCCCCCCUCACGGAAAUAAUCUCACAUUUAAUGCCUAGAGGUGCUUAUGGGCCGGGCCGGGCCCAGAAAAAAUUUUAGCCCGGGCCCGGCUCGGCCCGAAAUAUGGGCCUGAAAUUUUGCCCAAGCCCGGCCCGGUAAAAAAUUCAUAAGCCCGAGCCCGGCCAUUUUUUAAAUAAAUACCAAAAAUUUAUUUUAAAAUUAAAAAAAUUUAAAAAAAGUAUUUUAAAAAUAUUUUAAAUAAAUACCAAAAAUUCACCCUGCAUCUAAAAGGAGGUCCAGCACUCGAAUCCCAUUCCCCAUAACUAAAAACCAUGUCACUGUGACUUGGUCAUAUCUCCGUUCAAAGUCGGACAUGGGUAGUUAAAGAAAAAUGAAGAGUCGAUGCAUGAUAGACUAAGGACUAGCUCAAAAGUGCUUUUAGAAAAAAUUGCUCUUGAAAAGAGGUGUGGAAAAGUGUGCUUGUUAGUUUUUAGUGUUGUUCAUUGCUGCCAAAAAUCGCAAUUGAAAGUUAAAAUGUUCUUUUUAGACAUGAUAGUAGAAAGUAAAAAAUUAGUCAAGUCAUAUGAUUUUUAAAUAAUUUAAUAUAAUGAUACAUGAAAUAUAACUUUUAAAUACCUUUUAAGUAAUUAAUAUAAAUUAGUUGUAAAAUUGAUAAUAUAUAAAAUAUUUUGAAAAAAAUAAAUAUAAUAAUAAAUAAGAUUUAAACAAUUUAAUAUAAUAAUAUAUAAAAUAUAAAUUAAUCUAAUUUUUAUAUACCUUUUAAAUAGUUAAUGAAAAUAAUAGUAUUUUGAUAAUUUUCCCUUUGAAAUGCAAAAGCCAAAAACAGUUUUUGACUACAAAAGCUAUGUGUUGUUCAUCACUUCUGCAGUGGAAAAACACUUCUCCAUGGUGUAAAAACACUUUUACCCAAAAAGGCUUUUUCACCACAGUAGAGAAUGCACCCUAAAAUUGUAAAUAGAAAAAGGAAGAACCAAACAUUGUUUCUACCCUGUUUUUGUCUCCUCUUUGAAAAUACUUUCCAAAAGUUUUAUCAUUUUUUUUUCUGUUUACGAUGCCUUAAAUGCAAAUUCCUUAUAGAAGUGCUUUCUUUUGAUCCACUUGCAUCAUUGUAAUAAGUUUGCAUUGCCUUCUUUCUAUGUUGAUUAUCGUUUAUUAAGUUUUCUGUUGGAUCUUAUAGUCAAAUUCCUUUACAUCAUGUAUGUUAAUUUGCUUAGCCCUGAUAAAUGUUAGAUAUAGGGUUAUCAGCUAAUUAGGAAAGACUGUAAUGAUAGUCACACCUUACAUCCAAAUUUUUACAUUGAGGUUCCUUAUUAUUUUUUCUUGUUUCACCAAUUGCAUCCUAUUUACAGUUCCUUAGCGUUAUCCACUGUGCUAGGGUGGUUCUUGUUCAUAUAUUAAUCACCAUGCGCCUUCAGCAAAUGCAAAGCCAGCCAGCAUCUUCUGAUUUGUCAUUGGAUACUACACUUUCAGCAAAUGUAAAGCCGCCAGAUUUUCAGCUGUUUUUAGAAGGUCAAGACACAACAAGAGCAACAUAUGUUGUAUUCUUGUCAAACAAGAUAAGUUUUCGCAUAUUAACGAUUCUUUUUCCAAGAUGAAUUAUUCUCCUGUUGCAUUUUUAUUUGGGUUCAAAUGUUCUGUGAAGUUAGCUUGCCAGUGCUUGUUUGUUCAUCAGCAUUUACAGCUCAUUUGUCAUUGGUCAGCAGAAUUUCCGCUGUUUUUAGAAGGUCAAGACACAACAAGAUCAGCAUAUGUUGUAUCUAACAUUUAUAUUCAACAACUGGAAACCAUGUCAUAAAUACAUAUGAAAAAUAUUUAAAAAUCCUUGGUUGAAUACUCGUGCACUAACAUUUUUUAAAAGUUAAUUUUGUGUUACUUUUUUCAUCUCUAUUAUUAUAAAAUUUCCUGAUUUACUUGAUAUCACGACUUAAUUUAGCAUUUAAAAAAUGGAAUAUUACAUUCACUAUUUUUUUAAAAAUAGGAGUAACUAUCAAAAUUAAUUAUUUAUAUAAUCUUUUUUAUAAAAACUAUUUAUUUCUACUAAACCACUACUUUAAAACUACCCAUUAUCAUACAACUUCUCUUUAAUAAUUCACUAUUCUUUCAAACAUUCAUUAGUUUUUCAAACAUAAAAUUUAUAAAUAAUUAUUUUUACCUACAUUUUGAAUGAUGCAAUUUCUAACUAUACACUAAAAUACUCCAUUUAUCAAUUUAAUUUAAUUCAAAGAAUUAUGAUAAUAAUUGAAAUUUCAAAAAAGGAAAAAAACUAGAUAAUUGAAUAUUUAUAUACAAAAAUAAAACAAACAAGACAGACUUAAGCUUUCUUACCCCAAAGACAAGAUCUUUAUUCAAAAUGCAAAACUAGCAAAAUACUCCCUAAAAUUCAUCUAAACACAUCUUCUAAAGAUGUAAUACCCAAGAAGAUUGCCCACAGUUGGUGAUGCACUUCCCAACGAAAGAAAACCAAACUCCUCGCCAAUAUGGAUUUAUGUAAAGGAUAGCAACAAUUGUUAACAACAUAACUACAUAAGAAGCCAAAAAGCUCACACAAAAAACAUAUGUGUCUAGAAAACUAUCUUCUCUUUCAUCAUCUGAUAUUGUUGAUAUUGAACCGGUUUUGGAGCAACUUAUAUGAAGUAUAGGUCCACAGAGAAAAGGGUUCCCCUCGUAACUGCUUUCAAUGAAAGUCCCAAAUUGGUUUUGUUCUGGAAUACUACCUGACAAGUUGUUGUGUGCAACACUGAAAACCCCCAGAGAGUUCAAAUCUACCAGCUGGUUUGGGAUUUCACCACUCAAGUUGUUGUAAGAAAGAUCCAAACUCUCAAUCUGCUUAAGUUUUGAGAAUGAUGAAGGUAUAACUCCGACCAACUUAUUGCGUGACAAGUUCAAAGAAUGGAUUUCACGCAAGUUCCCUAAUUCAAGUGGGAUUUGACCAGUUAACUCAUUGCAAGAUAAAUCAAUCCCAGACAUGUAUUCAAGGAUGUCGCCUCCAUAUGAGAAAGAUCCACUCUUUGUGGUAAACUCUACCGAUUCUUUCAUGUAGCUAUAGGAAUGCAUCAUGUGCUCGAAAAGUAUACCCGUCUUUAAUAGUUUCAAUUCAUCCAGUUCUGAAAAUGUUGGCGACAUUAAAUCUGGUGUCAUGGUCUUAUCCUUAUUCAUUGGAAGAGUUAAAUUUCCCAAACAAGAAGGUAUAGGACCGGAAAACCUAUUUUGAGAAAGAUCUAUAAUGCUCAAGGAAUACAAGGUGCAUAACUGGACUGGAAUUCUUCCCUGUAAAUGAUUAGCUUUCAAGAGAAGGACACUCAAAGAAGAAAGUGUGUCGAUCCAUUUUGGAAUACCACCAGUAAAAUUGUUUCCUCUAAGAUCUAAUGUCACUAGUGAAGUGCUUUUAUUAAAAGCAAGUGACAAUGGACCACCCAGUCUAUUAUUGUGCAGGUGGACAUGCUCUAGGUUUGGAGGAUUAAAACAAGAUGGUAUAGAGCCAGAUAAAUUAUUUUCAGAAAGAUCCAAAAAUUUGAAGUUAUUCAAGUUGCAAAAUUCCACUGGAAUAGAACCCUCGACACCAUUGUUAGACAAGUCUAAUCUCUCCAAAAGUGACAUAUUCCCUAUCCAUCUUGGAAGCUUUCCAUGCAAUCUGUUGUUACUGAGAUCAAUAUCUGUUAGUGAUGUUGGAAACUGAAAAGUAGAGACAUCAAAAUUUGUCAUCUCUCCAGAAAAAUUAUUUCCAUCCAAAUAUAAUUUUUGUAACCCAUUUGCAUUGAGAAUCACAGGAACUACAUUUCCAUUGAGGUUGUUGUUUGACAGUCUCAAAAGAAAUAGUGAGCUUUUCCUGACCAACUCUUGAGGUACUUUUCCAGCCAAUUGAUUGUUUGAUAGAUCUAACAUUGACAAAUUCUUCAUGGCGCUUAAACAAGGAGGGAUAUUGCCUUGAAAGGCAUUCUUGGAUAAGAAUAACUGCUCCAAAUGUGGAAAAGUUGAACAUAUAUUGGUUGGAAGCGGACCUUGUAUUUUGUUGUCAGACAUGUCGAUUGAAGAUACAUUUGAAUUAGGAGUCGACAGUAAUGUGAGAGGACCUGUAAAAGAAUUACCCUUCAAGAUGAGAUCUUCUAACUUUGUGUUGUUUUCUAACAACCAAAAUGGGACAGUUCCACUGAAAUUGUUCUGAGAAAGAUCCACAAAUCUCAAGUCAUUUUGGUAGUAAAGGAAGGUAGGAAGUUCAAGACUGAGUUGUUGAGAUGUUCUGCACUUGGACAAACUAAUGAAUUUCAAUUGGAAUUUCGGGACUAAGGUGUGGAAGGAAGGUUCCAUUUCCAACUUGUUUUCAUCAGCCAAGAGGACCUCAAGGUUUGGAAAGUUUGCAAGUGGUACGAAUGAAAUUGGAAUUUGAAAAUGAUUACUUGAAAGAGAAAUGGCUCUGAGUGAUGUAAGACUUGCUAAAGGAGUUAGAUUUCCGGAAAAUCGAUUGUUGGAGAUAUCUAACUCACGAAGAGAUGUCAAGUUACUGAAACAAUGAGGAAGCAUCCCCUCAAGUGCAUUCCAACUCACAUCCAACACUUCAAGGUUCCUUAGAUCACACCAUCCUGAAAAAUUUAUGAAAUCAUGGAAGAAUUUCUAAUUAAAUUUGGUUUUCUAAAACAGAAUAGGAGAAAUCAGAUAAAGAAAAGGUCGUAUAGAAAAUUUUACCGUGAUCAGGUAAGGAACCAAUAAGUGCACACCUAUAUAGAGACAAAGUUUGAAGAGAAGUGAAUACUCCAAUGCUUUGCAAAAUGUUGAUGUUGAGACGAGAAUAAUCGAGAUUUAUUUCCUCCAAGUUGCUUAAUUCUAAUCAAUGAAAAGAGGUAGUAGGUGUUAAUGAAACGUAAGUUGUUUUGGAAUAGAAGAAGUAUUAGAUGUUAAUCAAGAAAAGGUGUUUACCUGAUGAGAAAGCCUCUACUAAGUUUUCUAGCGGAAUGCUAUCGUCGGUGACAAUACUUUGGAGACGAAGAACUUUUAACUUUUUCAAUCCCUUGUUUUCUGUGAGCGAAAAUAUUUUGAUAAAAAUUGUGAAAACUUCAACAUGAUUGCACUAAUUGUUUUUCUUUUCUUUCUAGCAUUUUAAGAUAAAUAAUGUGUAAAAUAGAAUUUUCCUUUAUUGAGAUCAUUAUAUUACUUUAAAUUUAUCACCACUAAAUAGAAAAUUAUUAUUAAAUCAAAGUUUUAAAUUUAUUAUUACUUAAAUGUUGUUUAUGCUGGGUGAUUUUGAUGAGAAUAAUUUAUUAUAUAAAAAUAAAAGUAUAUUUCUUAAAGUAAAAUAAGAGAAAUAUUUUAAAUUUUUUUGAAAGUGUUUAUAUACAUAUUACACUUAAUCACUCUUUUGAAAAUUCUAAUUACUCUUUUAAAUUUUAUGUUAAUUUUAAAAAGUAUAUAUAAUUUCAACAGAAAUAUUACUUUAAUAUUAAAAUGAAGAGCUUUUGUGGGUAAAAAAAAUUAUAUGAGUUUAUUUAAUUACAAAAAUAAUUUAAGAAUUUAUUUAAAAAAUAUGUAGUUGUUUUAGGCUCGAUCCUAGGGGUUAUUUGAGAGUGCGGUCGCCCAGGGCUGGAAGGGGCCCAAUUUUUUUUUCAGAUUUUAAUAUGGGAAAAUAUUCAGACUAAAAUAAAUAAAUAAAUUGCCUAGAGCUUUCAAAUUUUCACCAUAAAUACUUCAUCUCCUAUGGCUAAAAAAUUUUUCAGCUUUUAUUGUAUUACAUUUUAUAAUAUUUUUAAAAAGACUCGUUUAAAGACUUUUUUAAGUAUAUUAACCUAUUUUAAAAUUCCACAUUUUUAAAAUGUCUUAAUUUUCAAAUUAAAGUACAAACACACUAUAAUCCACAAGCCUUAAUUGCCAUGUCAACAUAAACCACCAUUUAGAAGAUUGUUUUCAUUUUUUAAAAAAUAAAAAAAAAUUAUUUAAAUGAUACCUUUGUGGACCACAAAGCCUCUCAAUUGAUUCCCACUCAUAUCUAGUUUCUGUAAGUUAGUAAAUGCAUCCAAAUCUGGGAAAGAAACAGAUAAGCUUCAUUAAAUCAUUCCAAAACAUGAUUAAUAUUUUUGUCUAUAGAGGCAUAAUUUGUCAAAAAAUAAUAAUUUUACCUUUCAUAUCUAUUAAUCCAUUCAAUUGAUUGAAACCUAUGCUCAAAGAUUUCAGAUUUGAAAGCUUGUUUAGAGUUGCAAAUACACUGUUAUUGAAGAGAUUUGCUUCUAAAUUAAGCUCUUCUAAAUGGGUUAACUCCAAUUUCUUACCUUCAUCUACAAAAGAUUUAACGUAAUUUCAUCAAUGAAAAAAAUGAUAUAAAUUUAAUUAUGUGUAAUAAAUUAUUUAACUGAACCCUAAAUUGUGGGUUAAUGGUUCAAGUGUUCGAAUUAUCAUUGUGUAAAAAAAACAAACUUAAUUAACGGACCAAAAUAUAAAUACAUACCUUUGAAGGAUUGAAAGUUUACCAUUUGAUUCCACCUUAAAUCCAACGUCUUCAAAAUUUUCAAAUUAUUCAAUCCUAUAUAUACUCAAGUUGAACAAAUAUUUUAAUAACUUGGCUGAAGUGAAAAGGGUAAAAGUAAGGAAGUUGAAAAAUCCCCAAAAGUGAAAGUACUAAUUUGAAACAAAUAAUUAUAAAGGGUCCUACAUAAGUAAGGACUUUAUGCUUGAAAGCCUUCAAGGAAGGAAAAUGUGUGGUUUCCAUGGGAUCUAAUUAUAAUCCUUGUUUGCUGGAUUCCACCUUUUUUAUUUGGCCAACAAAAAAUAAAUAAAUAAUAUAAAAAAAUUGUGAUUACUAAGGCUUCAACCUUGAAGUUUAAAUAGAAUUAUUCAAUCCCAAAAAUUGACCAAAAAUUUCCCUCAAACAAAACUUAACUUUAAAGUAGAAACAAAACCAGAGAAAGGCAAUCUACCUUGAAUAUGAGGCCACUUUCCUUCUAAUAGGUUGUAAGCUAGAUUUAAAUAUUGGAGAGAUGAAAAUUGGCUCAAAGAUAAUAUAAAGCUAUCAUUCAGAUGAUUUUGACUUAAGUCAAGGAACUGCAGAUUUCUGAAUGUGGAUGAUAGCUUUUCAAAACCUGCAGAGUUAAUAAUAACAAGUAAUCGCAAAAUUAACAGUAAGUUGUGUUGAAAAUAUGUGUACAUAAUAGAGUAACUAAAGAUGAAAUGAAGGGCAAAUCAAAUAUAGAACCUUCAUUUUCAACACAACCGGCUAUGCCACUCCCUGUCAAAUAAAGCCUCUUUAAUUCCUUGAAGGGAAGAAACAAAGAGGCAUUCAGAUACCAAUAAUCCAAGUAUCCGGACCUCAUAGAAUCAAGAGAGAGUCCAAUGAGUCUCCCAGUGGUGGUGUUGCACUCAAUCCCUUUCCAUUUACAACAAUCUGAACCUUUAACCUCGUCCCAGCUGUCGAACUCAUUAUAGUGAUUGAAGAAAGGUUUGAGUUGCAAGAGAGCAACUCUCUCAUGCUCCACACAAGCAUCAAUAGUGCACCACCUGCAUCCUUCUAACAGUAGCAGCACACUCAUCACUGCCAUCCUCAUAAACCACAACCAUUUGGAGUCCAUCAUCUCUCUGUUUUUGCUUCUCUCUCAAUUGUAUGCUACUUCAAACUUCUAUUGCAUUAGCCUUCAUGAAACUUGUUAUUUAAAGACAAGGACCUAAGGCUGAAGGCAACCCACUAGUCCACGCUGAAAUAGUCCACUGAAUGUGACGAUAUAUAGGCCCUACAAAGUGUGGUUGUGGAAAUAAUCUAAACACCUAUCCUCCAAAUUAAUACUAUUCCUUGAGAAAUUAUUAAAGGUCAAUUUCUGGUUUUAGUCCCUACGCAAAAUUCAUUUUGAAGGUUUAGUUUUUAUAUAAUUUAAGAUCAAAUUUUUAUAAUUAAAUUAUCAUUUACGUCUGCUUUAAAAUUAUGAAAAAAAUAUUUUAAAAAUAUAACGAACUCCAGCUACAGCUUCAAAAUAUGAUGAAGAUGUUUUAGUAGAAUAAAUCGCAGAAUCCGCCAUCUUUGACUUUUGUUUUCUUAUUGUGAGAAUAUCUUAACAUUAUAACUUUUGAAUAUAUUUUGUUAUUUCAGUUAUUAAUUUAGAUCAUAUACAAAUUUCUUUCGUGAUAGUCUCAUUUAGAUUUGAAGUUUGUUGUUGGAUUUGAAGUUACAGGAAAAUAUGUUGAAAAUUUGGGUUUAAUAUUAAAUAAAAUGGGUUGGUAAAAUCUAUUAAUGUUAGUGGCGUUUUCCCACAAAUGCCACUAUAGAACAUGAUCUUUAGCUGCGCUUUUACUACAAACAUUGCUAAAAAACAUGAUUUUUUGUGGUACUUCUAGCUAUAAAUGCCACAACAUGCUUGACUCUUUUAUAGUGUUUUUCCAAAUGAACGCCGCAAAUUUUAGCGGCGCUAUCUAAAGCGACUUUUUACUGGCACUUAUCAAAGCGCCGCAAUCUGUUUUAGCGGCACUUAUAAGCACCGCCAUAGGGCCAAAAAAACACCGCUAAAAACCUAUUUUGCUGUAGUGAUUUACGCAUUUAUAAGCCUACAAAAUAAUCACGGAUUCAAUUUUAGAGUCCGUUAUCAGCCCCUAAUCGGGACAUCAAAUUGACCAAAAAGGGCCCACAUGACCUACCUGUUCAACUUGUGUAAUUGCACACGCCUAAGUGCUCCACACGGCCUGGCACACGGCCAACUACACAUCAAUGUGGUGCACAUGAACUUGUGACGCAGAGUAGCUUUGAAAAUUGUAACCUCCCAAACCCGGCCUAGAUGUUAUGACUAGAUUGAGAAGGCUACAAUAGCCACCGAAAUGGCUAAGCUAACUUACGUUACUUUUGAAGACCUUAAAUAAACUCAUUUUAGAGAAAACCGUAGUUGUACUUUGAGUUAGCUUAAAAGCAUUCAUUCAUUAGGUCGUGUAUACUUAGGAUUCAUUUUAUUGUUGAUAGUGUUGUUUUACAAAAAUAGUUUGCUUAUCGCUCUUCUUUUAAAAAAAACUCGAUGGUAAACUAAUGUGCGGAAAAACCAUUUUUCAAGUCAUUUUGGAAACUUAGUUGCCUUAACGAUUUGUUUUUCAGAAACAAUUCCUUUUUAAUGCAGCGGAAACUAGGGAACAAUAUCAAAUUUUACUUAAGCUCGAUAUCAUGCAUUAUUCAGUUAUUAUGCUUGAGUAAUCCAUGCAUGCAAAAAUCCCAAAAGAAAAGUUACUAAGCCACAAACCACAAGUCAUUAAAAAUUACAAACCAAAACUAAUAGAAUCUGAUUAAUACUUUUUAAAAAUAGUCCGAGGUCCAAGGUGAUUCUUCGAAUGCCAAGUCCGAUCCUAAUUUUGAGGUUUACACAUUCAUUUGACAUACUCAGCACGUCCUCAAUAAUCACAUACUUUUAGUAAAUGAAAACAAUGUUCCAAACUUUCAAAUUACCAUUGUGUUGGUAUUAAUCAAUAUCGUUCAAUUUCGCAUACUUUAUGAAUUUUGAUUAUGCAUAAAUAGCACCCUAUACAACAUAUAUGUAUAUAAUAUAUGCCAAGAAAAUUUAGAAAUACAAUAAAUCAACCUAAAUGAAAUCAUUCAUCAUCAUUUUUCAAGAUUUUAAAUUAUAUUUUCUCAUUCCCAUUGUCAGUGUAUUUCAACUUGUAAACAAAGAUGAUGGCUACUAUAAAUGGAAUCAUUGAUAUAUCAUGAUAUUUGAAUUUGACAACUAUUUUUAUACAUUUUAUUACCAAAAGUAAGGGUAUUAAUUUUUUAAUGUUUAAUUGUGGUUUAGAGUUAAUUUAUUUAAAGUUAAUUGUUAAUAUUAUUAAAUUCAAAUUUUCGUAAUUGUAUUAAUAGAAUAAAUUUAGUGUUAAAAGUGAGUUUAUUCAAUUUUAUAUUUAAUUUGUUAAAUGUAAUCUAAUGAUUUUUUUGUGCUCUAGUGUUGAUUUAAUUAAAGUUAAUUAUUAAUAUUAUUAGGUAACUAUGAGUUCUCAUCAAAUUAAUCCUAAAAUUCAAAUUAAAUGCUAAAAAAUUAACAUUAUUACUUUUAAAUAUCAAAAUGUAUAAAUUUUAUUAAAUAUAGAUACUAAAUCAAACAAAAAUUAUAAAUUUUGAGUCGUUGCAAAUUUUUCCAACAUUUUUGGGGUCUUGAAUUUGAUAUGCAAAAAGUUGGUGGGAAUUUUAAGUCAGCAAAUCCUUUAAAAGGGCAAUGACAUAAUUAAUUGCAUUACUUUAAUGGUUGAAUUUUCAUAGCUAAUAUGUAUGCAAAAAGUUGGUGUGAAUUUUAAGUCAGCAAAUCCUUUAAAAGGACAAUGACAUAAUUAAUUGCAUUACUUUUCAAAGAUCGACUACUGACUUUGGUGAACUUAUUUAUAGAAGGUUAAAUUCUGCUGUUGGUCACUGUACUUUACGAAAGUUGUGAAUUUAGUCUCUAAACUUCAAUUUGAUCAAUUUUAGUCUCUAUACCUUUUGAAUUUUGAAAUUUUAGUUCUAACCCAAACAGUAGCAGUUAUCAAUUUGAUUAAAUUCUAUUACUAUCGAUUUAGUCCAAACUUUCUGAAUUUUGAAAUUUUAGUCUUGAUGCAAAUGACAAUCACUGGUCUAUUAAUUGGAUUUUUAGUAAAUAAUAUGUGAAAAUAACAAGUUUGUUGACACCAUUUUUUUGAUAAAAAUGGGGUCGACUUAGAUUUUGAAAAUAAAAACGAAAAUGGGAGUCGCCACCGAUCCUUUUUGAUAAGGUGUGAUCGGGUCACCUCAAAAAGUGAUUGUUUUUAAUAAGCGAUUUGAUUUUAUUAAAACAACGAUUUUAGUCCACGAAAUUUAAAAAAAUGGGUUCGGGAGUCGGUUACGUUCAAGGAAGGAUUAGCACCCUCGUAACGCCCAAAAUUGGUACCUAGUUGAUUAAUUAAUAUCUUAAUGUCGAGAAUUGAAAACUCGAAAAGAAUUUAAAAUACAAUCAUUCCUUUUUAUUAAUGUUAAAUUUAUAAACGAUGCUUGGAUAAAUCGAGGUGGAUGCUAAAGACCUUCUUGUCUCAGAGUAAAUAAAAUGUCAAUCCAGUACGUUAGGACACAACAUUUUAAAUCCUCGAGAACAAGCUUAUCUUUUUAUUUUCAAAACUCGUGCAUUUAAAUUUCAAAAGGAUAUUCGAUUAUUUGGAUCAAAGGAGAUAAAUCGAAACCCAGUGAGUUAGGGCACGAUCAUUCAAAUUUCCCAAAUACAGAAUAUCACUUUUAUUAUUUUUUUAGGAAAAUCCUCAUCUCGGGAAAACAACAUGUCAUAUCCAAUGCGUUAGGACACAACGUAUUAGAACCCAAUACGUUAGGGCUCAAUCUUCUCGAAGAUCCAAAAUACCGAGUAUUACCCUUAUUUUCAAAAUUUUCUCUUUAUUACGAAUUUGAGUAAAAAUUGUAAAUGACAGAAUAACAAUUAUGAUAAUGUAAAUAAAUAAAUAAAUGAAUAGAAUGAAAAAAAGUAAAAAAGACAUAUAUGUAUGUGCAUAUAUAUAUAUAUAAAUUAUAAAAAAUAUAUAUGAUAUUAUAAAAAUGUAUGCAUGUAUAUAUAUUAAAAGUAUAUGUAUAUGUGUAUUUCGAAAGUAUAAAGUAUAUAAGAUAUAUAUAUGUAUAUGUUUAUAAAUUAUAAAAUAUAAAACAUAUAAGUACGUAUAUAUAUAUAAAUGAAUCAUGAAAUGCACGUGUAUAUAUGUAUAUAUUAGAAAAUGUAUGAAUAUAUAACAAAAUUUGGAAUUAAGGAUGUAAAUGAGUGAAUAAUAAUAACAAUGAAUUAAAAUACAAAAUCAAUGAUGCCAUACAAUAGUAUUAAUAAUAUCAAAAUAAUUAAUUUAAUGAUAAAAUAACUAAAACAACAAAUAGAGGAUUAAAUUAGAAACUAAACUAAAAUUUGGGGUCAAAUAAAAAUAACUUAAAGAGGGUGACUCGGGACUAAAACAAAAUGCGCUGAAGGAGCAAGGGACUUCCAGGGAAAUAUUCCCUAGUCCUGAAACGCAGCACUUCAGCAAGGAUUAAAAUGAAAUCAGAAAAAAAUUUAUGGGCCAAAAUGAAAGAAACAAAAGGGACAAAUUGCACUGAACUAUAAAAGAGGAGGGGCUGAACGCGCAAAUAGCCCCUCCAGGCAUAACACGCGGAUCCUGACCGCAUUCGGGUCGGGUCUCGGAUCGGCUCCUGGGUUUUAUGCCAAACGGUGCUGUUUUGGCCAUGGAUGCUAAGGUCCAAAACGUCGCCGUUUUUAAACUAUAUAAACACUCAAAAAAUCAACAAAAAAAAAAUUCAUCCCUUAUUUUUUUCAAAAAAACUGAGAGUCUCCCUAACUCUCUCUCAACCCCCAUCCCUCAUAUUCGGCCGACGACCUUCUUAGGCCUCCGUCGCGCCACCUCGUAGCCGGAGGUCGGCGCCGGAAAUGAAAGGCCAUUAAACCCCUUUUGUGGAGUCCUUGAGAGCCAGGCUCUCUCAACCCGCGAGGAGUGAAACAAAAGGGGGACCCUCGACCUUGGCAGACCCGACUCAACGAUGGAGGAGAGAGCCUCUGGCGGCACAGUCACGGCCAACUCCAGUGAGUCACCCUUCCCUUUUUGUCCUUUCUUUUAGUACUAGUUUUAAAAUCAGAUUUUUUAAAAAAAUGAUAAAUAAAAUAAGUAAAUAAUUCAAAAAAAAAGAAUCGGAGAAGACAGCAACCUUUGUUUCUAUUUCUGAAAUUCGUAAAAAAAUGACAGACGAAGAAUACAAUGUUAAGAUUUUGGCCUUUAUAGCCGAUUUAAAAACCCCUAAAUUUUUAUUUUUUGUCGUUUUGUUGUUUGGCCUGUUCUGCUGUUGCGUGUGGUUUACUGCCUUGCAGGUGUCAGAGGCUGACGGUCGGUGAUAGGCGAGUAACGGCCUGCGUGAGGAGUGGCAGAGGAGGCAGAACAUGCGGCGCUGGGCAUUGGGCAGAGGCGUGCGGCGCUUUGGGGUUUGCUCUUGGCUGAAAUUGUUUAAGUUGUGGGGCAGUCGAGCCACUAGGGUUUUUUUUUAUUGGGACGUUUGGGCCAUUGUAAUUUUGGGUUUAAGUUUGCUGUAAAUGGACUGGAAUAGUUUUUAUUUUUUAGGCCCGGGCCAAAAUUGGGCCUUACAAAGUCGAUAUGACAUUACACAAAUGAUAAUAUGUUUGUCACACCAAAUUUUAGAGAUAGCAGAACUUAAUGAAUUUAACAAAUAUCGUUUACGGUGAUUGAAAUCUUAAAAUUUGAAAAGUACAAUAACUAAAAUAUCAAAUUAACUUAUAGGGAUUAAAUCCACAACUUCAAUAAAAUACAGGAAUUAAUGGUAGAAUUUAACCUUUAUAUAAUAAUUUCCUUGGUGAAAAAAACGCACAUUAUCAUUUCCUUGAAUGAACUUCAAUUUGUCCAUUGAGAUAUAAUCGGAGGGAGUGGAAUAUAUAUAAGAUAAUAUUUGAUGUAUUCGGUAAAUGGAGAAUAUUAAAUAGAGUGAGCAAGCCAUUCGCCUCACGGAACACAUUAACGAAAGACACAAGCUUAAUACAGUCACUAAAUCCAUCAAUUUCAUUAACAACCUGCUAAUAAUUCAAGACAAUUGUUGGGUCCGGAUGGAUUAUAUUUUAAAAUUUUCUUUCAAAAUACAGAAGUUCCUUUGACAAAAAUGAAAAUAUUAUUUAAUUAUAGGGUUAGUAAUUAGUACACUGAUAAUCUACUUAAUGCUAUUGAUUUUUUUUUAAUAUUAUACAACACCUUUAUAAAACACGUGUCAACCCUCUGACUCUGCUUAUGAAAUUUAAAAACUUCAAUGACAAUGUACCAACUAUUAUUCUUAAUUAUUAUACUAUUCAUGAUUUAAGGACAAAGAUCAAAUACAAUAUUUGCUUAAAAAUCUCUAAUAUAUAUGUAUAUAUAUAUAUAUAUAUAUAUAUACAUUUGCUCACUUAUUGUGAUGUAAUAUAGCACCAUCCAGCUAACCCUAGCUUUCUAGCAAGUAGUCGGAGGAAAUUAUUGAGAAAAUAUCAUUAAAUAUAUCAACAAUAAUUGCACUAACUUUCCGAUGUUAACUACUGACCUUUGCGUCAACCUUGAGCUUAUAUAGGCCCCCUACAAUAAUUUAGGCUAUGGAAAUAAUCUUACAAUUAAUGCCUGAGAAAUAAUUAUAGAUCAAUUUAUAGUUUUAAUCCCUAUAAUUACUCAAUUGAAUUAAAAAUUUUGUUAUUCUUAUUUAAUUUAAUUUGAUAUAUUCUGUUCCUCUUAUUAAUGUUAAUGUUUAGAGUCCCCGCUUGUACAUUGGUGAUUAGGUCUCUCACCAUUAAAUUAUUCUCUUAAGAACCUAACCUGCAAAUUCAUAACAUAAAAAAUUUACAGUCAAAUGUAAUCACACAAAUGACAUUCCUCACUUAAACAGAUUAAGUCGUUGCAAAUAUCUAAACAUAAUCAAAGUCGUCGUUAUGGCCCCAAGAGAAGGCACGUUAACUUGUCUCUCUCACACAUAGGAUGAAAUUAGUCUAAACCUAACCUUGGUAGAGCCGACCAUGUCGGGCAGACCACCCUACAUAAAUCUGAUUAUUUUAUCAUAGUUUAUUCAUCACUGAAGGAAGUAUGCAAAAUUAGGCAUACCAUUUAUCCUCACCUCUCUCGCUGACAAAAGAUUCAUGUUAAGUAUAUUCACCCUACAUAAAUUAUCAAGAGGAAUCACAGAUUUAAGGACCGUGGAAAAGAAUUCCAGAACCAGUUAUAUACAAGCAGGGCCUAUGACAUCCCCACUAAUUCUCAAUCAUAUAAAAUAAUAUAUAAUUAAUUCGUCUGGAAUGUUUAAGGCAUGGUGGUGAAUAUAUCAUGAGCGAUGUUGCUGAGUUUCUUCUGAAGAAUUGGCUAGCUAUUAGUGUCUAAAGGAUCUUUAGUUAUAUGGGGCUUAUGUUUCGGUUGCUUGAACAAUUGCUUUUCAGAGGGCAGAAUAGUAGAGGGGGGUUUUGGGGGUCUGGUGGUAUGGAGUUAUGAUGUUAUCAAUAUGAGAUUUUGGUGAUUUGUACUUGAUAAAGGGACACUUUUCGUGAGGGAUUGCUACAUUUUGCAGAUUAUAACAUUGUUUACAAGUGCUUAAAAUGUGUAAUAAUUUGAUCGAGAGAAAAAAUGACCAAAACAAAUGUUCUCAGCAUUUUUGCUUCAUUUAGAACUUGUAAUUAAUUUUUUUUAUCAGAGAAGUUGUAAUUAAUUGGAUUUGGAAUGAAUUGAUAAUAUCCUUACUAUUUCACCUUUUUUAUAUGUUUGGCGUGUGAGUAUGAUACAGAUUGAACUGGUUUUUAAAGUAGAAAUAAAACGAUAACAAACCAAAACAUUCUGGUUUUCAAAAUUUUGAAUCCAAAUCAAUCGAAUUAGUUUAAUUAUAAUUGAAUGUUUUAUGUGUUAUGAUGAUGAAGGAAGUUGAUGAGGUGACUUGCUUCAUCUUUCAAAAUAUGAGGUUCGUUUGAAGUUCUCUUUGACACAUCUUUACUAUUGUUUUUUAAUAACAAAUGAAAAGUCAAUUUAAAAAACAAAAAUCCAAACCAAUGAAUUUCUUUUAUACAUAUAAGAUAAGCUUACUGCAAAGCUCUUGUUUUUUCAAAAUAAAAUUUUGUUUUUGUUUUAUUAAUUUUGUAUGAAUCAAAUGAAGUUUAAUUUUUUUAAGGGUAAAUUAAACCAACAGUAACUCAACUUUGAUGCAGCUGACAAAAUAGUUGAUUUGGUUUCAAUUCAGUCACUCAACUUUCAAAAAAUAACAAAUCAGUCACUAACGUUACCAAAAAGUGACAAAUCAAUCACCCAUUAACAUUUUCCGUUACAGACCUAACGGGACAGGUGACAUGGCUAGUUAACUUGCCACGUUGACAUGGCAAUGCAUUUAAAAUUGGUCUAAUUAAGAAUUUGGUCAUUGUACAUUAUGAAAACAUAAAAAUUAUUUCAAUUGAGUAUCAAUAUUAAAUCUUGUCCAUUGACCCAAAAAUCAUCAUUUCAACAAAUUGUAUGUAAGAAAUUAGUGAAAAUCAACAAUUCAGUAAUUUAUAUCAAAAUUGAGGACUAGCUUUUCAUUUUUUUGUAAAUUACAUGGAUGACAUUCACAAUUAGACCUAAAUAGUGACAAAUUACAAAUUUAAACCCUAAAUACCUUUGUUCAGAGGAUCCGUAGCCAACAGAAUCAAUAAAACCGAUGGAGAUGAAACUCAUGCAUUUGGCGUGAAGAUGAAACUGGACAGAGUAGAACUCGCAUUGUUCGUCACCGUUGCAGGUGUCACAGUCACACGAGAAUCGCAUCGACAUGGCGCGUCGGCUAGUGAGAGGGAUUAGAUCAAGUCGAUGGGCAAUGAACUUGUCGUUGACGACGGAAGAGUUAACUUCAAUUUUGACGAGGUCGAUGGCUAUGUUGGGAACCUCGGCUAUCAUGACACGAUGGAGGGCAUUGGCCAUGGAGGCGUUGGUGUCAUGGCAGCAUAGUUGUCUUUGAGUUCUCGGAUUUUGACCCUUGGGAAUCGCUAGUAUGAAGCUCCUUCCAUUUUCUCUUCUUCUCCAUUUCUUCUCUUCUUCUUCUUCUUCUUCUUCUUCUACUGCCCAAGGCUCUUAAAUGGGGUUGUUUAAAUGACAGCUAGCCUACCGUUAAAUGUCAUGUCACUUUUCUGUUACAAACGUAACGGAAAAUGGUUAAAAAGAUUGAUUUGUUAUUUUUCAAAAAUUAAGUGAUUGAAUUGGAACUAGAGUGACUGUUUUGUCAAUUGCAUCAAAGUUGAGUGAUUGUUGUUGCAAUUUACCCCUUUUUUUUUAAUAGAGAUAAGCUUUGUGGUGGAAAUUUGUUAGGAAAGGAUGAUUGUAGGAAUGGUCCACAAAAUUAAUUGCAUUCCCUUUUCUUGAUGAAUUCUUAUCUUUGGGUCAACUCUUAGCUUAAAUACACUGCUAAAUUUAUUUUAGGUUGUACAAUAUAAAUGGAGCAAUUGAUGUCAGGAGAUAAGUUGGAAGUACAAUUAAAUUUUUUCAUAAGAGGAGAUGGGAUGAGAAGAUUUGAACCCAACAAUUAUUGGAAUUUAGAUUAUAAAAUUGGCGUGAAAUCAUGAAUUUAGAUUAUAAAAUUCUUUCCAUUUUAAUAAUCAUUUUAGAACUAGUUUGGUUUCCAAUCUAUAUUUUGUGUUGUGUUUUGUUUAUGUCAAAUUUUAAAGUAAAACUUUGAAAGUUAAAAUACAUUCUAAGUCCCUAUACACUUUGUACUUUUAGAAUUUAGUUCUCCUAGUUUUUAUUUUUAUGAAUUUAGUCUUUCUAUUUUUUGGUUUUCAAAAUUCAAGUCCCCAAUUAUUUUCACUGUUAAAAUUCUUCUAUUAAACUCACUAGUGUCACCUUUUGAAAUUACCAAAAAAAAAAUCAUUUUGUAGUCAUGUAAUAAUAAAGAAUAACGUUAAAAAUAAUGAUGUGGAUUUUUAUUUAAAAUACUCAUCCAAACUGAUCAUGAUAAAAUGACUUUUUUUUUUGUUGGAAUAGUGUUUUUAAGAAAAAUUGACGUCAAUAUUUUGAUUGGAAUAGUUUACAAUGUUAAUUAUUUAGACUAACUAAUGACAUUACAAAAAUAAAAUAAUGAAAUUAUGCCAAAAAUUAAGGAAUAUAAAUUAAAUCUCAAGUUUUAACAUAAUAUAGGGGCUAAUACUAAAAUUUGACCAUUAAUUUCCAUGUAAUAUAAAAUAAAAAUAAAAAAGUUGUGUGAAGCAGCCCAAGCUUAUGACAGAAAAAAAAAAACACGGCCCAAAGCUAAGGUUACGUGUUAGAAAGGGAAUGUCAUGAUAGGGGUGAGUAUUCGAUCAAGUCGAGUUAAAUUGAGUCAAAAAAGUUUAAGUUAGUCGAGUUUACGAAUCCUAUUUUAGUAACCGAACUCAAUUUGAAUUUUUUUUCUGAAUCAUAUUGAGUCAAAAAGUUUCGAGUCAAGUUGAGUCGAGCUAAAGAAUCCUAUUAUUUAUACUCAAAACUUAUAUUUACAUGGACCGAUUAUUUAACUAGUAGAUGAAGUACAAGAUUAUUUAACUACAUAAACAAUAUAAUGGUUUUGCCUUUUAACUUAAUGAGUAAAUAUUUAUCAAAACGAUAUAGUUUUGUCUUUUAAUUUAAUAGUUUUGACUUUUAACUUUGGAAAAGAUAAAUUCAGAUUUUCAGAUAACUCGAAUUGUGUAAUUCAUAUUCAAGUUGAAUAUAAAAACUUAAUUUUUUUAUUCGGGUUGAUCCGAAUAACUUGAUUAACUCAAAUAACUCGAACUAUUUAAUUCAAAAUUUAAAAUUUUUAUCAAAAUUUUCAGAUCAAAUCGAAUUUUGCUCACCCCUAGUAUUGGACAUUAUUUUUAUAUACGGGUGUAUAUAUAUGUGUGCGUGUGUGUGUUUGAUGUGAUUUCCUUGUGAGUUCCAUCUAUUUUUAGAAGUUUUUCCACGUAAAAUAUGUGUAUUUAAUAUUUUCAAUUCUUUUAUUAUUCUACUUGCUCGUUGCAAAUACGUUUGAUUCACAACAUUUUAACCUAAACUUAAUUGUAAAUGAUAAGAGAUAUUUUACGAUUAAAUAAAAAAAUUUAAACCACUAAACCAUUACCCUAAUAUGUCAAAACACAUGCAUUUUUUAAUUUCAAAAUUUAUGAAUUCCGAAGUAAAGAGCAUACGAUAUUUAUAUUAAUGUAAGAAAUGUAGGCUUGCUAAGUUUCGCAAAAUCAUAUUACACUUUUAAUUGAAUAUAAUGGUGGGAUGAUUCAAUUAUUAAAAACUAAGUUCGGGCAAAAAUGUAAAAAUAAUCUAAAAUUAAUUGAAUUAUUAUAAUAAAUUUAUAUAACUUAUGGAGUGAACCAAAUCAUGACAUAAUAUCAAAAAUAAUUAAGACAUGUCAUAUUACAAAUAAUAAAAACUCAACUUUAUAAGCAUAUCAAAAUUUAUUAUCAUGGCGUAUAAUAUGUUAUGAAAAAAGAAAAAAGAAAAAAGAAAAAAGAAAAAGAAGAGAGACAAUCGCUUCAUCAUGAGAUAUAAGCCCUUGAAACCAAAAGUUAGUUGAAGCUGUUAGGAUCGACUCAAUUAAGCAACAAGUAACAAAAAAUAGUGGAGUAAAUUGAGAAAUUGAACACACAAAUUUAACGUGGAAAACCCCUCCAAAGAGGAUAAAAACCACGGGCAAAAAUAAUUUUACUAUAAUGACAAAAGAAUGAAGAGUACAAAAGAUGGAGAUAAAAAGCUAAACCCCAAAAAACCCCAAAAACAAAGAACCCUCAAAACGUAAACACAAUGUAACGCCCCAGAAUUUUUAUUUUUGUUCUUGCAAAGGUAUAACACAAUUGUGUAUCUACUUUAGUGGUUAAGUGUUUUGGGUGUAUGAGAGGUCUCAAGUUCAAGCCAAGACUUGGCGAAAUUUUGGUAUUUUUAUGAAUAAGCUCUAUCUUUGGUCAGUAGGCUUUUAAGUAAGAGUCGACAAAUAAUUAAAAGAAUGAGCUUGUUCGUUUGGUGGAUAAGUGGAGUGUUGGUGUGAAGGAGGUUUUGUGUUCAAUUCUCUAUGGUGGCAUGGAGAUAGUAUUUUUGCUCCAAUUUUGGCUAAGAGUUGUGUUUGGGCAAAAUUCUGAGUAGUUGUGUUUUAGUGGGUUAAUAGGGAGUGAUUUUUGGAAAUAAUGGGGGAGAGGUUAUCAGAAAAUAAUCUGAUUGUCUUUUUAUUGCAUAAAAAAAGUAGAGUUUCGGUUUUCUCUCCAAUUACCCAAACUUUUUCUGACGUUUUCUUCUUUUUUUUCCCUCCGCUGUCGAUUCUUUCCCCUAGUUGUUGCCAAAAUUUCCAUUAUUUUUUCCCCUUCCAUUUCUUUCUUUUAUUUUCCAAUUGAUUUGGUUGUUUAUCGUUGGUUGCGUGUGUUCGGUAAGUAACGGUUUUGUCUAUUGUUAAUUGUUCUUAGUUAAUCUCUGAAAGGGGGAUUCCUUUUUGGUGUUUCGGAGUUAAUCAAGGGGCUAGUGGUUAUGAAUCGAUGCUGUGAUUGUGUGAAGUCAUGAUUACUCAAGCGAGGUAAGGGUUUUGUUAGGUUUUUAGUUGAGUUCCUUCCAAAAUUGGUUAAUUAAAAAUGAAUUAAGUGAUUAAUCUGGAGAUUUGUUGGUCGAUUUUUAGGUUAUGGAGGCUUAGGAGUGCUUACGCAUUAGAAAUGAUACCAGGUGUGUACCCGAAAAGCAGAAAAUGAGAUUCGGCGAAAAGCAUAAAUUGCUUGCUAUUUGGACAGCAGCAGUGGGCUAACUUUAAAAAAUCAUCAUAAAUUGUGAAAAUUGAAUUAAAGGAUGAAAAAAGUAUGGAAUUAAAUAUUAUUGAGUCUAGUUUCUCAUAGAGAAAUGGUGUAAGUAAUGGAAUUGUAAAUCGUGAGAUAUAAUAAAUUUUGUGAGACAAGGUCAGAAUGAAUUCAGGUUUCCCUUUUUUGACUUUGGAAAAUCAUUAAAAAUUGUAUAAAAAUGAUUAUGGGUUAAAAUUUAUAUGAUUAAAAUUCUUAAUGAGUAUAUUUUCAAGAGAAACAAACCUUAACAUCAUCUGAAUCUCGUACUAAGAGAUAAUUAAUUUUUAGAGAAGAAGGGUCGAAAUUAUCAGACAGCAGAACAGGGACAAUUUUGAAGAAUUAACUGUACUCAUUGGCUAAACCAAAAAUUCUAAAAAUUUUAAGGUAAGAAGAUAUGUGAGUCUGUUUUUCGGGAAAAUCAAGCGGAUCUUAAUUUUGAAUUCUGUAGCUCUAGUUAUAAAUAAUUUAGUGACAAUGACUCAAGUAGACAACUCUGAAUGAUCAUAUUAGUAAAUAGUGGAAACAUAUAUGAAUAUUUAGCUAGCAUGGGUUACAUUAAAAAUGGAUCACACGGCCAAGGCCAAUUUGGGCCGAGUGGGCCACGCGGGCACAUGGGCGUGUGGGUCCAUUUUUACCAAAAUGUUUCUAAGGCUGCACAGGUUGCCCAAGUCGACUGUGAACCUACUGUAAGGUCGGUAAGUGCUACUUAAACCCCUAAAUGUGUGAAAUUGACUGAAUGAUAUUUGUACUGAGCAUGUUAAUAUCUAAACUGAAUAUAUGUACUGAAAUUGCAUAAUAGCAUAUCAUCCAUGGUAUGUUGCAUUGCAUUGGGUUGAGGGUUGUUAUUUGGAGGAAAUGUACUAAAAGGCUUUAAGCCUAAUUUACUGGAAUCUUAGCUACAAACUACUGUUUUGUGCCGCAAUAUUCAAUACUACUUGAAGUGUAGGAAUGGGUGGGUUGAUUAUAUCCCCACAUGGUGUGUAGAGGCUGGUUGGCAAAUGGAGUUUUAGUAAGCACAAGCAUCGUCAUCUGUCCAUCAUAACUUGGAAGACAACAAAGAUACUCAUAAAAUAGAUCUGCAAACUGAAAAGAGAGAAGUCAUGUGGAGUGAAUAAGAAGAAGAAAGAAAAAAAGGUUGGUGGGAGGAAGAAAAAGGGUCGCGAUAGCCAAUCCGAAGGUUGUCAAUGCCAUUGGGCAAAAUAAAACAUAAUAAACAAACGGCUUGGAGAAAAAAAUUAAGAAAGAAGAAAAAAUUUAGGCAAAAUUUAUAUUAAUGUAAGAAAUGUAGACUUAUUAUGAUAUUACAUUUUUUAGUGUGAUCAUUCAAUUAUUAAAAAUGUAUUUAUAACAAAUUAUGUAAAAUUUUAUAUAAGCAUAUAAUAUGUUAUGCAAAGAGAAUCACUUUUCUUAGUUGAAUUGUUAUAACACAUUAUACAAAAUAUAUUUUAAAUUAAAGCAUAAUGUGAAUACGAUACCAACCAACAAAUUAAAUUCGAUGAUUUAUGGAUAAUUACAUUUAUUACUCAAUUUAAUUUAAUUCAAAGAGCUAUUGAAUACACAUAACAAUUAAUUAUGAUUAAACUUUAAAUUUCACAGAAAAUAAAAAGAAAUAGAUUGUUGAAAAUGAUAAAAUGGAAAGAUAAAGCUACAAACUUCCUCCCCACAAACCUAAGAGCUUUUUAUUCAAAAUGCAGAAAUCAACAAAAUAGUCCUCACAAUCCAACUUAGCAUAGUAAAACAAUUAGGUGGGGAAAUCAAAUAGUAAAUUCCUUUUUCCUUGAAUCAACACCAACCGACUUUGUUGAAAUCUUCACUAUAGCUAAUCACAUUGCCUGAAGAUGUGAUAUGUAAGAAAAUUGGCCAUUGUUGAGUAACGACAGGUUGUGAUGCACUUUCCAAUAAAAGAAAACCAAACACUUCGCCAAUAAGGAUUUAUGUAAAGAACAACAAAAAUUGUCAAGACCACAACUAUAUAAGAAACCAGGAAGCUCACACAAAAAUCAUAUGUGUCUAGCAAACUGUCCUCUCCUUCAUCAUCUAACGAAUUUGAUCUAGUUGAUGGUGCAUCUGGUUUGGAGCAACUUUUAUGCAAAAUAGUUCCACAAAGAAAAGGGUUUCCCUCGUAACUACUUUCAAUAAAGGUCCCAAAUUGAGCUUUUGGUUCAGGAAUACUACCUGACAAGUUGUUGUGUGCCACACUAAAAACUUCCAAAGAGUUCAACUCUACCAACUGAUUGGGGAUUUCACCACUCAAGUUGUUGUAAGAAAGGUCCAAACUCUCAAUUUGAUGAAGUUUUGAGAAUGAUGAAGGUAUAACUCCGAUCAACUUAUUGUGUGACAAGUUUAAAGAAUAGAUUUCACUUAAGUUCCCUAAUUCUGGUGGGAUAUGACCAGUUAAGUUGUUGCAAGAUAAAUCAAUCCCGGUCAUAUAUGCAAGGAUGUUGCCCUCGUACGAAUACAACCCACUCUUUGUUGUGAACUCUAUUACUUCUUCUAAAUUCUAUUACUUCUUCUAAGUAGCUGUCAGGGUAGUAAGGAUUUAUAUCCCUUUCCAAUUUUCUCAUCGCAAUGGAUGUUGAUUCAUCCUUUUCUGUAAAUGGAAGAUAGAACCCAGUUGCUAGACUCUCUUUCUCUUUCAUUGGAAGAGAUAAAUUUCCCAAACAAGAAGGUAUAGGACCAGAAAACAUAUUUUGAGAAAGAUCUAUGAUGCUUAAAGAAUACAACUUGCAUAACUGAAUUGGAACUUUGCCAUGAAAAUGAUUAUCUUUCAAGAGAAGAACACUCAAAGAAGAAAGUGUGUCAAUCCAUUUUGGCAUGCUACCUGUCAAAUUUUUUUCUCUAAGAUCUAAAGUCACUAGUGAAGAGCUAUUAUAAAAAGCAAGUGAUAGUGGACCUCUCAGUCUAUUCCCGUGGAGGUGGACAUGCUUUAUGUUUGGUGGAUUAAAACAUGACGGUAUAGAGCCAGAUAAAUUAUUUUGAGAAAGAUCCAAAAACUCCAACCAAUUCAAGUUGCAAAAUUCCAUUGGAAUAGAACCCUCGAAACCAUUGUUGGACAAAGCCAAUCUCAAUAAAAAUGAUGCAUUCCCUAUCCAUCUUGGGAGCUUUCCAUGCAACUGGUUGUUACUGAGAUCAAUAUCGCUUAGUGAAUUUGGAAACUCAAAAGUAGACACAUCAACAUUUGUCACCUCUCCUGAAAAUUUAUUUCCAUCCAAAUAUAAAUUCUGCAGCCCAUUUGCUUUGAGAAUCGCAGGAACUACAUUUCCACUGAAGUUGUUAUUUGAUAGUCUCAAAAUGGUCAGUGAGCCUUUCGUGAUCAACUCUUCUGGUACUUUUCCAUACAAUUGAUUGUUUGAUAGAUCUAAAAUUGAUAAAUCCUUCAUGCCACUUAAACAAAGUGGGAUAUUACCUUCAAAAGCAUUCUUGGAUAAGAAUAACCGACUCAAAUGUGGAAAAGUUGAACAUAUACUGGUCGGAAUUUGACCUUGUAUUUUGUUUUCAGAGAUGUCAAUUGAAGAUACAUUAGAAAUAAGAGCUGACGAAAAUGAGAGAGGACCUGUAAAAGAAUUGCCCUUCAAGAUGAGAUCUUCUAACUUUGUGUUGUUUUCUAACAACCAAGUUGGGACCGUUCCACUGAAAUUGUUAUGAGAAAGAUCCACAUAUCUCAAGUCAUAUUGGUAGUAAAGGAAGGUAGGAAGCUUACGACUGAGCUGUUGAGAUGUUAUGCACUUUGACAAACUGAUGACUUCCAAUUGGAACUUUGGGAUUGAGGUAUAAAAGGAAGGUUCCGUUACCAUCUUGUUUUCAUUACUCAAGAGGGCUUUGAUAUUUGAAAGGUUUGCAAAUGGUGCGAAUGACAACGGAAUUUGAAAAUGGUUUCUUGAAAUAUCUAACACACGAAGAGCUGUCAAGUUACUAAAACAAUGAGGAAGCAUCCCCUCCAGUGCAUUCCCACUCACAUCCAAUACUUCAAGAUUCCUUAGAUCACACCAUCCUGAAAAAUUGAAAAAAUUGGUGGAAGAAAUUCUAAUUAAAUUUGGUCUUAUUUAAGAGAAUAUGAGAUAUUACACAAAGCUCAUACAAAAUUCAAUUUGAGCCAUAAAUUUAUUUACCUUGAUUAGGUAGGGGACCAAUAAGUCAACAAUCAUAUAAAGAUAAUGUUUUAAGAGAAACAAGUACUCCAAUGCUUUGCAAAAUAUUGGUGUUGAGAGUAGAAUAGUCAAGAUAUAUUUCCUCCACAUUUCUCGACACAUUUGAUUCUAAGCAAUGUCUAGAGAUAUUAGAUAACGAUAUUGUAAAUAGAAAAUUAUAAUUGAUCAUGAGAAAGAAGUUCAUAUUGACGAGAAAUGCCGAGGACAGCAAUCGCCAUCCCAUGUCAAAAAAAUCAUUUGAGAUAAAUAAUGUUUGAUUUUCUCAGUCUUUUAUUUUUUGUGAAUGAAAAGAAAUAUAAUUUACUUGAAGUUUUUUUAAUUAUUCGAAAAUGCCAUUUAUUUAUUUUAGGCCAAAAAAUUCCAUUUAUUUAACUGUAAUAUAUAUUUUUAUGUUUUAUAUUAUUAAAACCAUAUGAAAUUAAAAUGAUAGUUAUAUGACAUAUUUUUCCAUAAAUAUGAGUAUUUUUUAUUUAUAAUAUUAUUUUUUUAUUUUUAUAAUUAUUUUUUAUCUCAUAAAAAUUUAAUAAAUUAUUUUGAAAUUAUAUUUAUACAAACAAAAUAAUUAUGAACUCUAAUAUUUUAAAAUUAUGCAAAAUUUAAAAUAUUUUACUUUCAAACCGAAGACCAUAGGAUUUAUAAAAUGUUUCACCGAACCCAUAAGCUGAAUUUUUCCAUGUAUGAUAUAAAACAUAAAGACAAGGAUGAGCAACACAAAGACAGAAAAUUAUUAUUUGGUAGUUUGUUGAUUUACUUUAAGGAUUUAGCAGUUUCAAUCAUGUUCCUGUUAUGCUUUGAUUUUAUUUAGGUUCAUCCAUGUAAAACAAAGAAACAAAAACAUUAAUUAGUUGAAAAAUAAUUAAUUGUGUUAUAACAUAAUCCAAACCUUGUAUUAACAAAUAUUCUGUUUUUUAACCUUUUUCAACGAUGAAGUGGGGAGCACCGAUUCAGGGGCCAAGCAACAACUUUGUAUUGGAGGAUCGAUAUAAAAUUAUUUUUUUUGGAGGGACUAAAGUUAAAAUUAUUUGUGUUAAAAUUGUUGAAAUUGAAUUUUUAAUGUUUAAAGUGACUCAAAAUGCAAUUUUUAUGCAUAUAAUUAAAAAGCUACAGAGGAUUAUAUUGAAUAAUUAAAUUUUAAAAGGACUAAAAAGGGUAUUAUACCCUUGAUUAAAAUAUGUCAUAGGUCCUUGUACUUUUCAAAAAUUUGUAAUUUAGUCGAUAUACUUUUAUUUCUAAGGAUUUAGGCCCUCUACAUUUUCAAAUUUUAGAAUUUAAGUUCAAUUGUUAACAUUAGUUUUUUUUCCAAUGUUUUGAAAUAAAGAAAAUAUUCAAUUGGUAGCAAUGUAACUAAAAAAAUAGCAUUAUAAUGAACCUAAAUUUAACAAAAUAAUCUUAAUAGUGUCAACAAUUAAACUUAAAUUUUAAAAUCUAAAAAGUAGAGGGAUUAAAUUCGUAAAAAUAAAAAUAUAGAGACUAAUUUACAAAGAGUAUAAGGAUUUAUGUUAUAUUUUAACCUAUACCCGUUAGCCUAGGGGGGCCAAGACCUCUGUCUACCCCUUUGGCUUUUCCUCUACACCAAUUGAACAUUAGUUUAAUUGACAUUGUUGAUAUUGCAACAACUCUUUUUCUUUAUUUUCUUCAUCUUAUGAAAAAUGUUAAUUUUUAGUUUUGGACAUUUUUAAUAUGCUUAAAUUUGAGAUUUAAUUAUUAUCCUUUAUUUCUAAUUUAAAUUAAGCUUUAUAUUUUUAUAAUUUUACUAGUUAGUUCAAAUAGUUAAUUCAUUAACUUUUCAAUUAAAAUAUUAUGUAGUUAUAUAUUAUUUAAAAGUGGAUUUUUAAAUAGAUUAAAUUCUUAAAAAUAAAAGUUGAAGGAAAAAAAAUAAAAUUUAAACAAAAACGAAAGUUUAGUCAAAUGAUACCUUUAUGGAUCAUAAAAUCUAUCAAUUCAUUUGCCCUCAUAUUCAAAUGCAUCCAAAUCUGGAAAAAAAAGGGUAACAUAUAAACCUCAUUAUAUUAUCUUAAAACAUUAUUAAUGUUUUUGUUAAUUGAGUCAAGAUUUUGGGAAAAGAAAAUGUUUUUACCUUUUGCAUCUAUUGGUCCUUUCAAUUGAUUGCUUAUGGUCAAAGUUUUCAAAUUCAAAAGCUUGUUAAGAGAUGCAAAGACACUAUUAUUGAAGAGAUUGGAAUUUAAAUUAAGCUCUUUUAAGUGCGUCAAUUCCGAUUUUCUACCACCAUCUGCAAAAGAUUUACAUAAGUUCAUCACUGAAAAAAAUUAGCAUAAAAUUUAAUUAUAUAUAAAAACUUAGAUAACUCAUCAAAUAUAAAUACAUACCUUUGGAGGAUUGAAGGCUUUCAAUUUGAUUCUCGCUUAGAUCAAGUUUCUUCAAGUUUAUCAAAUUACUCAAUCCUAUAUAUUUUCACGUCCAAUUCAAAUAAUUAUGUUAAUAAUUUAAUUUUUACCGAAUAUUUGAAUGAGUUUCAUAAAAUAAAAACAAAAAAUUGGUUUGUUAGGCAAUUUUUUUAGGUGUUGUAGAAAUUUUAAGUUCCUCCAAGUUUAUUAUGCUUAAUUGUUUUUCAUCUAUAGUAGGAAGAAGAAUAGUUUCUAAUUAAUAUUAUAGGCUUUGAAUAUUUUAUAAGUUCAUCCCUUUGAAAAUUUAAUUUAUUCAAUAUAUAAAAAUCAUACUUGUACCUUUGUUUGAGAUGCUUUCAAUUCUGUUCCCACUUAAAUCCAAGUAGUUCAAGUCUGUCAAAUUAUUCAAUUCUGAAAUUCAAUCCUAAAUAUUGAUUAGUUAUAUAUAUUCAUGAUAUGAUAAAAUCAAAUAACAUAUUGCAAGUUUGCAACAACUUUUCCUUCAACAUAAAUUGAUUUUAAAGUACAAAAGAAACAAGUAAAAUCAAUCUACCUUGAAUAUGAAGCAGCCUUCCUUCCAACUGAUUACUACUCAAUCUUAAAGUCUUCAAGGAUGAAAGAUUUCUCAUAUCGAAUAGAAUGCUAUUCUUCCAAGAAUUCCCACUUAAAUUAAGAGUUUCCAAUUUAGUGAGUCUUGAAAGCCACUGAAAACCUGAUUUAUAUACUAUAUAAUUAGUUACUACUAAACAUAAUAAAUAAUAAUACUCUAAUUUUACAAUAAAAAUUUACUAAAAUCUGUCAUUGCCUGUUGGAAUAAUAGUCUAUCAGAAAAGUCAUGCACAAAUACUUAUACCUUGGUUUGAGAUGCUUUCAAUGUUGUUGUAACUUAAAUCCAAGUACUUCAAGUUUGUCAAAUUAUUCCAUUCUGAUGAAAUUCAAUCCCAAUGUUGAUCAGUUAUGUUUUCAUGAUAAGAUAAAAGCAAAUGAAAUAUUGCUAUAGCUUUUUCUUAAACCAAAUUGAUUUUAAAGUAAAAGGAAGCAUGUAAAAUAAGUCUACCUUGAAUAUGAAAUAAUAUAUAAAUACUAUAUUUAUACCUUUGUUUGAGAUGCUUUCAAUUUUGUUCCCACUUAAAUCCAAGGACUUCAAGUUUGUCAAAUUAUUCAAUUCUAAAAUUCAAUCCCAAAUGUUGAUCAGUUAUAUUUUCAGGACAAGAUAAAAGCAAAUGACAUAUUGCAAUAACUUUUCCUUAAACCAAAUUGAUUUUAAAGUAAAAAAGAAACAGGUAAAACCAAUCUACCUUGAGUAUGAAUCAACUUUCCUUCCAAAAGAUUGUAUCUCAAACUUAAAGUCUUCAAGGAUGAAAGAUUUCUCAUAUAGACCAUAUUGCUAUUCUUCAAAGAAUUCCCACUUAAAUAAAGAGUUUCCAAUUUAGUGAGCCUUGAAAGCCACUGAAAACCUGAUUUAUAUACCAUAUAAUAAGUUACUGCAAAACAUAAAUAAAUAAUAAUACUCCAUUUUUUAGUUAAUUUGAGUAAGUUCUUGUUAGUCUUUUUUUCAUCUCAACCAUAUGAAAAAUUAUUGAAGCAAAAACUAAGUUACAGGGGAUAAAAGAAUGGAAAAUCACUGUCAAACGUCACAAUACAAAUAAAAACUAACAAUAGACCAAACUUAAUUUACCUCUUGGAUGACUUGAUCCUUCGAACCGGUUGUGUGAUAAAUCUAAAUAUCGGAGAGACGAAAGCUCACUCAAAGAUAAUAGAAUGCUAUCAUUCAAGUGAUUGUAACUUAAGUAAAGGAUCUCUAAAUUACUUAAUGUGGGUGAUAGCUUUCCAAAACCUGUAGGAGUGUUCUUUUAAUUAUAUACAAGUAAUUAAUGACUUUUCUUCAGUAAAAUAAAAUAAAUUAUAAGUAAUUGCAAACUAACAAUGAAUAGAGAAAUAGAAUAAUAAAAUAUGUAAUUAAGGGAAAAUUAAAGGCACGACCUUCAUUUUCUAGGUUACCACCUAUGGCAUUCUCUGACAAAUAAAGACUCUUCAAUUUCUCAAAAGGAAGAAACAUAGAGGCAUUGAGAUACCAAUAAUCCAUGUUGUAUUCCCAUUUUGUAGAAUUAAGGGAGAGUUGUAUGACUCUCCUAGUGAUGGAGUUGCACUUAACUCUUUCCCAUUUACAGCAAUCUGAACCCUUCAGAUCAACCCAACUUUUCAAUGGGUUACCAUAAUUGAAGAAAGGUUUGAGAUGCAAGAGAGCGAUUCUCUCAUGCUCCAAACAAGCAUCAGUAGUACACCACCUACAUCCUUCUAACACCAACAACAGUACUGCCAUCCUAAUAAACCAUAACCAUUUCCACUCCAUCAUCAUCAUCUUUCUGUUUUCCCUUCUCUCUCAGCUAUAUGUUACUUUUUUAACUUCUAUAUGUAUAUAAUCUGCAGAAGCCUAAGCAGGACCUAUGCAUCCCACUAAUUCACUGUAGUAUUAAAAUAACAUAUAAUUAAUUAGUUCCUCAAAAAUUGAAUGAAUCUAGACUUGUGCUGCUCUAACUUAUACGUUAGGAAAUAAAUGUUGACACAAUUUUUUGUUUUAUUUAGAAGUUGUAGUUAACUAUAUUUGCUUGGAAUGAAACUGAAUUCAAAUCAAUCAAAUUAAUUAUAAUAAAAAAUAAAAUAUCAAAAAACUGUUCAAAAUAUGAGUUAUGUAGAAGCCCUGUUCGACAUAUUUUAACUUUUAUUCUUUAUAUAAAAAUGAGAGUUACAAUAAAUAGUAAAAAGAAAAUCUAAUCAAAUGCACUUUUCCAUAACAAAAUUAAUUGCAUUCCUUGUGGAAAAUGAACUCUUGACUUUGCCGACCAUCCUCGACUGAAAUAGGCUGCUAAUUUUAAUUUAGACUGUAGAAAAAAUUUUAACCCAAUUAAUGUCAUUUGAAAUUAAAAUUACUUUAUAAACCUUUUGUUAGCCCUUAAAUUAAUAAACCUUUGUAAAAAUAGUUAUUGUAGCUAAUUGAGUUUUAACUCAAUCGGUAUUGGUAUUGUUGUCAGUAAAAGAAGACGUAAGUUUAAGUGUGCAGAAACGUGUGUUUUCUCCUAUUUAAGGAUUAGGGUGGAUUAUGAAUAAUUCUUUGAAUUGUAUUAACUUAGAAGCUUUGAGAUACUCACAAUUGAAUUAAACAUUCAAUAUAUAUAUUUAUCUUAUUUUUUUUUCUAUUUCCGAUAAAUAAGAAAAGAUCAUUCUUUACGCCACCAUACGAUUUUAGUAUCACAAUCAAAUGAGACUUUUAAAAGUCUUAACACUAUACAAGUAGUUAGUCGACAAAACUUGCACUAAUUUACUCUUUACGCCGAAAUUAUUUACAAAGUGCAAACAACAUUACUUUCACACUAAUUUUUUCCUUCUAUUUAUGUGGGAUAAAUAUCAAAAUUAUAUAUGAAUUUUAAUUUAAUGUGUAAUAUUAUAUAUAAAUUUUGAUUUUGUGUAAUUUUAAAAUGAAAUUUUGAUUUGAUUUAAUUUUCACAAAUCAUUAACAACAUCAUCGAAUUAGUACUAUAUUACAUUGAUAUAUUGCAUGCACAAACAGGUAUACUAAACCAAUAUGAAAAUAAAUAUAUGUAUUCAUUUAUUUAAAUGUGUACAAUUGAAUCAAAAUAAAAGUUUCAUGUAUACAUAUGGAUCACAAUUCAAGUUUCAUACAUAUAAUUGUACCAAAUCAAAGUUCAUAUAUCAAAUUGCACAUUAAGCCAAAAUUUAUGUAUAAAUUUAAUAUUUAUCCCAUUUAUGGGAGAUUAGCUUUCCAAUGGUAUUGUUUUAUUUACAUUAAUCCAAAUAAUUGGAAAUGAUGAAUUAGUUUAACGAAGAUUGUAAUUCUAUUAAUGUUUCUUCUCGAAUUUUUGGUUGCUCUUAUUAGCAUGUUUUAUUAAUUGAUAGAUUUAAAUUCUUGGAAUAUAUUCUAAUUAAUUAGAUAUUUCCUUCCUUCCAAAAGCCUUUCAAAAUAGGUUUAGUUCGACCAAGAUACUCUUGUAGAAAAUUUUAGUUUUGUGGGAAAAAGAAAACUAGAUUUAUUUUUUACUCUAAUUGGUUUUAUAUGCAAGGUAUAUAAACUUUUGUGUCGCUGCAAUUUUUUUCCAACAUAUGUAUGUGAUUUGUGGGGUUUCAAUUUUGAAUUUUUUUUUACAAUUUAAUUAAAUUGUGAAAGUAUUUGAAAGUAUUUGAGUUGAUACAAUGUUUAGAACUACCCCAACACCCACCUAACCCUUAAAUAGGAGGAUAAACACGCUUCAGCACACUCGAACUCACAUCCUCCUACACCGAUGAUAAUACUAAUGCCAACAGAGUUAAGACUCAACCAGCCUUGAAUUUUGAAUUUUACUUCUUACACAUUUUGAAUUUUGAAAUUUUAGUUUUGACCCAAACAGUAGCAGUUAAAUCAAUUUGAUUAAAUUUAAUUACUAGUCCUAUAUUAUGCGUACGAUUAUUGAUUAGUCUAUACUCUCAAAUUGGGCAAUUCUAAGUACCUAUACUUUCCGAAUUUUGAAAUUUCAGUCUUGAUGCAAAUGACAAUUAUUAAUCCAUUAAUUUGAUUUUUAGUGAGUAAUAUGUGAAAAUAACAAACUGGUAUAACAUUACACAUAUGAUAAUAUGUUUAUUCCACCACAUUUGAAAAUAGCCGAAUUUAACAAAUAUUGUUAGUGAGGAUUGGAAAUUAGAGUCUAGCCCCCUACAAUAAUUUAGGUUAUGGAAAUAAUCUUGCAAAUAAUGCUUGAGACAUCAUUAUACAUCAAUUUAUAGUUUUAAUUCUUAUACUUACUCAAUUGGAAUAAAGAUUUAGUUUUUUAUUUUCUUUUAAUACAUUGUCUAGAAUCUUUAUUCCAAUUGAGUAAGUAUAAGAAUUAAAACUAUAAAUUGAUGUAUAAUGAUGUCUCAAGCAUUAAAAAUAACUAACUUCAUUAAAAAAUUCAUUAGUUGGCUCUCUAAGACUUAAAAAUUAAAAUUAUGUGGUUAUUAAAAAAGAAUUAUUUUUAUUAAAUUAUUAUUUAAAAUAAAUUUAUCUCAUCAUAAUGAUAUGAAUUUUUUUUCUUUAAAAAAUCCACAUUAACCGACUAAUAGAAUUGUAUAAAGCUGCCACCAAUCUCUUGGCAUGAUGGCAAAAGAUUCAGAGGCAAGCCAGAAAGUUUUUUGAGAGGAGUGAAUAAAGUUAUAUCUUUUUAUUAUAGUAAAAAUGAAAUUUUAUUAUUUUAAUAAUUUAUAUUUUUAUAAUUUUUAAAAGAUUAAAUAAAAUUUUUUUUUAUUUUUGAGGGGAUAAAGUAUAAGUUUAUCAUAUACUAAUUUAAAAAUUUUAAAAUUAUAAAAAGACUAAAGAUGAAAUUUUUCAUUUUAGGGAGAUGGGGCCCUGCCAGGUCCCUUGACUUCGCCUUGAUAAAAGUAUUAUGUUGCAAGUAUAAAGUUUGAGUUUAAUCUCGAACAAUCUCAUUUCUUAUCCCUAAUUAUAAAAUAAUAAAAUAAAUAGAGCAAUUGAUGUGAGGAGGCAAGUGUAAUAGGUCAAUUUUGACCUGGGCCAGAUUUCAAAACAAAACCCAAAUUAAAUAAUAAAAGAGUCCAAAAUAAUUAAAACAAUCCAUCCAUUUUACAAACAAACCCAAAUUAGCAGCCCAAAUACAAAUUAAAACUCAAUAACUCAAAACUAACCCUAGCCCAAUUAGCUCAACACUUAAACACAACAAAAAAACCCCUAGCCCCCUAAGCCUCCAACGCCGCAUGACCACCUGUGCCGCACGCCGCCGCCGCUCAAGGCUUGCCUAUCACCGACCAUCCACGCGUCUAACACUUGCAAAACCAAGGCAACAUGCAACAACAAAGGCCAAAUAGAGGAAACAACAAGGAAACAGACAAAAAAGGAAGAAACAAACAGUUUUGAUUUGGCUACAAAAGCCCGAAUCUCACCCUUGUAAUUUUUUCAAGAACAUUAGAAAAUAAAAAAACAAAAACAACACUUUCAAGGUGAAUUUCUACUUUUAUUUCUGUUUUAAAUACCUAUUUGAUUCUAUAUUCAUAUUUUUAUUUGAUUUUAUAUAUAUAAUAAAAUAAUAAAAUAAAAAAAGGAAGAAAGGGCUCACCGGAGACGCCCCGUGACCGCGCCGUCGGAGGGCUCUUCUCCAUUGUUGCCAUCGAAUCCGAGAGAGGGUCGGGAGUACUCCUCUUUUGUUUUUUUUGGGUCGAGAGGGCUGGGCUUCCAAGGGAGCUGUGAAACGGGGGCUAAAAACGACCUUUUGCGCAACGCCGGCCACCGGCCACAGGCCACAGCGGCGCUGCGGCGGCAACCCUGGCCUGCCAAGGGGUGGGCUGAGAGAGAGACCAAGAGAGACUGAGAGAGUUCUCUAUUUUUUUAGAAAAAUAAAAGUUGAACUGUUUUUUUCUUUUUCUUUUUGCUAUUUAUAUAGGGUAUAAAACUGCGUCGUUUUGGACUUAAGCAUCAGUGGCCAAAAUGACGCUGUUUUGCAUCAGACCCGAAAGCCAACCCGAAUGCAGUCAGGAUCCUAGCGCAUUUUAGCUUUGAGGAGCUAUUUGCAUAUUCAACCCUUCCGCUUUUGCAAUAUAGUGCAAUUUGGUCCUCGUUGUUUUUAUAUUUUGGCCGCAUAAUUUUCUGAUUGUUUUACUUUGGUUCGAGCUAAAACGCUACGCAUGGGGGCUGGGAAUAUUUGCCAGUCGGUCCCUCAUUCCUUAAGCACGCUCUAUUUCAGUCCCUAGGCUUUUUUUAUUUAUUUGCAAUUUGAACCCCAAAUUUUGGGUCGAUUUCAGUAUCAUCCUUAGUCCAUUUAAUUUAUUUGUUCAUUAUUAUUUUUUAUUUAAAAAGCUCUUUUAUUAUUAUUUGUUUUAAGUUUUUUAUUUAUCAUUUACUUUAAACUGUUUUACAUACUAUUUAUUUAAAAUUUUUUUAUAUUAUUCAUUUUAAACCAUUAUAUGUACAUUAUCUUUUAAAUUCUUAUAUACAUAUAUAUAUGUCGAAACCGUUUUUUUGAAAACAAAAAUUUUUAGUUUCGACUUAAAAAUAAAAACUGGAGUCGCCACCGAUCCUUGAUUGAGGUGUGACCGGCUCACCUUAAAAACAAUUUUGGUCUACGAGAUUUGAGAAAAUGAGUCCGGGAGUCAGUUACGCACGAGGAAGGAUUAGCACCCUCGUAACACCCAAAAUCGGUACCAAAUUGAUUCUUUAAUGCCUUGGUGUCGAAAAUUUGAAAAGAUUUUAAAAGGAAACUUUUUAUUUCAUGAAUGAAUCAAAAUAAUAAGACAUUCUUAUUUCAAAGAAAUAAAACACCACACCCAGUGAGUUAGGGCACAAUAUUUUUAAAUCUUCAAAAUACCCGAAUAUUACCUUUUGCUUUUGAAAAUUCUUAUUUCGAGAAGUCAAAAUAUCAGGACCAGUAAGUUAGGACCCAACAUUUUUGAACUCCCAAGAAUAAGCUUUUAUUUAAAAUUUACGAAUUUAUUGCAAAACAAAUACUUGGCUUUCUAAAUUCAUCGAAAAAUAAUCACGAUCCAGUCAGUUAGGACACGAUCUUUCUCGAGAAUCAUGAAUGCCAAAUAUUUUGGAAAUUUGUAAAAUAUGAUGAUUUUAAUGCCUUGACGAAGCCAAUAUAUAUUUUCUUUAAAAGCAUGAUAAAAUGUUAAUGCAUAACAUGAAACCAAUACUUUAAUUUAAAUCGUAUGUAUAUAUGUAUUUGCAAAUCGCGAAAAUAAAAUAAAUAUAAAUGUAUGGAUAUGUCAUGAAAAUAUGUGUGCAUUUAAAUAUAUGUAUAUAUGUACAAUAUGUAUAAAACCAUGAAAUAUAUAAAAUAAUAAAGAAAAAUGUGUACGUAUAUGUAACAGAGAAUGCAUGUAUGCUUUAAAUUAUAAGAUAUAGGAAAUAAAUAUGUUACAACAAUGUAUAUCUAUAUAAAAUAUAAAUGUAUAUAAAAGUAAGUAAAAGUUAUGCAAGUAGAAUAAUAAAAAAUAUAUAUAUGUAAGGUGCAUGGGUUUAUAAAAAUUAUUUUUAAGAAAAAAUGUAUGCAUAUAUUAUUGUAGAGAAUAAGCAUAUGUAUAUAUAUAGUAAUGGUAAUAAUAAUAAUGAUAAUAAUAAUAAAAAUGAUAAUAGUAAUAAUAAUAAUAAUAAUAAUAAUAAUAAUAAUAUAUGACAUAAUUAAUAAUAUAAAAAACAACAAAUUAAGGAUUAAAUUGGAAAUAAGCGAAGUUUUGAAACUAAAUUUAAAGAUGGGAAUUAAAUAAGGACCAAAUUAAGAUGCGCGCAACAGUAGGAGGAUCGAAAAGAUAAUUUGCCCAAACCUCCCAAAUGCUGCGCAGCAACAUGGACCAAAUUGAAACAGUAUUAAAACAUAUGGCCUAAUUUAAAAAAAUAAAAAGACGGAUUUAAACACCCCUCAUAAAACAGAGGACCAAAUGUGAAAUUGUCCCCUUUCACAGAAAUGCGCGGAUCCUUCCCCGGGUCGGGUCACCGCACGGGUCGUAGGGCUGAAACGGCGCCGUUUUUGUGCUUACCCUUCGGCCCAAAACAGUGCCGUUUUCGGUAAGCUAUAAAUACAAUGUUUUUUUUUAAAAAACUCAUUGUUCUUUCUAUUUCAAAAAAAAAACAAAAAAAAAAUUUCCUUUUCUCUCAAGCAGGCCCAAAAUCCGGCCAAACUCCGGCGAGUGGCCACUGCGCCGUUCACGGCGGCGGGGAGUAAAAAAUCUCGCCUUUUUUAAACUGUUUUUAGAUCCCGUUCAAUAGUCAAACUGCUUUGGCUCAAAAGGAUGACCCUUGGCCCCUUCUCCUCUCGGAUCCGACGUUCUUGAAGGAGGAGAGCCCUCCGACGGUGAACCCGCAAGGCAAAUCAGGUAAGCCCGUUCCCCUUUUACUUCUUAUUUAUUAUGCGUAAAAAAAACAAACAGAAAGAGCAAACAAGGAAAAAAAAAACCGAAUCUAAGGGAAAAAAAAACCUCCGUUUUGUAUUUUAUUUUUUCAAAUCUUUUUUCUUCGUAUUUUCCUCUCUAUUUUCGUAUGUCUUUACACUCAAGACCCCCCUUUUCAGAUCUCCCCCCACGGCUUUUAAAUAGUCGAAAAUAACAACAAAAUAAGCAACAAAAUCAUAUCUCCCUUCAAUAUUGGUUGCGAUUUUUGCUACUACUCUGCUAUUGCUGCGCCAUAUGCUUCUUUUUCGCAGGUGUGGUGGCUGUUGAGUGCGUGGGAGCGACAAGCGCGAUGUGCGGCGCUUGCGGAGGGGUGGUGCGCAGGGUGAUGCGGCGCUGAAGCAGAAAGGGCUAGGGUUUCUGGACUGGGCUAGGGUUAAUGUAAUUGGGCUAAAUUUUUGGGUUUAGUCUGUAGAUGGGUAAUUGGGUCUGCUAUGUUUUUAUUUUAUAUGGGCCCGGGCAGAAAAAUUGGGUAUUACAAUAUAUAUUAAAAAAAACUGUUGUAUGUUUCUUAUUUAUUUAUUUUAAACUGUUAUUAUUAUUCAUUUUAAGUUUUUAUAUACUGUUUAUUUGAAGCCUUUUAUUAUUUAUUUUUGAAUUGUUCUUAUAAAUUAUUUAAUUUAAAUUAUUAUUCUUUGAAUUUUUUUUUUUGCAUAUUAUUUUGUUUUGUUUUCUUUGAUUGUUAAUAUUAGUAUAAAAAAUGAUAUACAUUGUGUGACUAUUACCAUCAUGUGUACUAUAAUUAGUUUCUUCGUGUUUUCAUAUUAUUAUCACUCAUUAACAUAUAUAACAUUUUUUCAUAAAUUGUUAUUUUAUGUUCUAUGUUAUCAUUCCAUUUCACUUCAUCACUUUGAAAUUAAGUUGCCUUCAAUUUGUGUUUACCCAUAAUAAACCGUUCUAUUUUGUCACAAAUAAAACAAAUGCACCUCGUUCAAGCAUUGUACUCGCAAUUAUUCAAAAAAGAGAAAAAUUUUAAAAUAAGGCAAUAUUUCGCAUUUUGGAGAUUCGAGAAAUUGUACCCUAACUUACGAGGUUUCAAUUUUCUCAUUGAACCUAAAUAGCAAAAUAUCUUUCUAAUUUUCAAAAUUUACGAAUUCCAAUAAAGUUAAAGGCUAGCUUAUUCUCGAGGGUUUCAAGUGUCGUGUCCUAACUUACGGGAUGUGACAUUUAUUAUCUUGAGACGAGAGGAUCUUUGGCAUUUGUUUAGAUUUAUUCAAGCAAAUUCUUUUAAAUUGAAAUAGCGUUAACAAAAGGGGGAUUGUGUUUUAAAUUCUUUCGAAGUUUUUCAAUUUUUAAUAUUUAGACAUUAAUUAAUCAAUUGGGUACCAAUUUUGGGCGUGACGAGGAUGCUAAUCUUUCCUCGCAUGUAACUGAUUCCCGAAUCCGUUUUCUCAAAUUUCGCAGACCAAAAUCACUGUUUUGAUAAAUUAAAAUAUUUUAUUAAAACAACUAAAUUAUGAGAUGACCUAAUCACACCUCGUAAAAAAAAUAUUGGUGGCGACUCCCGUUUUAAUUUCCGUUUUCAAACCAACACCGACCCUUUUAAAAAAAAUGGUUUCAAUAUUAAGUUAUAAGUGAAUGAAUUAAAAAUAUGUGAAAAGUGUAAAUAAAGACUCUUCAAUCUCAUUUCCUCUAAUGCUCUUUUUUUUUUUAAUCAGAGAAGUUGUAAUUGACUGGAAUGAAAUUAAUAAUCGCCUUAUUAUUUCACUUUUUUUCUUCAUAUGUUUGGCGUCAGUACAGGUUGGACUGAUUUUAAAGUUGAAGUAAAACGAUAUCAAACAAAAACCAUUCUGGUUUUUAAAAUUAUGAGUCCAAAUCAAUCCAAUUAGUUUAACUAGAUUUUAAUGUCUUAUGUGUUAUGAUGAUGAAGCAAGUUGAUCAAGGGACUUGCUUCAUCUUUCAAAAUAUGAGUUGCUUAAGAGCCCUGUUUGACGCUUUUUUUUUUCUUAAAUUACAAACGAAAAGGUAUUUUUUAAAAAAAAAUUAACUUAAUGAAUUUUUUAUAGAUAUAAAUUUCCUGCAAAGUUAUUCUUUUUGAAAAAAUAUUUUUUUAAUUUUUUAUAUACCUUUUAAAUAGUUAAUGAAAAUAAGAGUUUUCAUUUCGAAAUGCAAAAGCCAAAAACAGUUUUUGACUACAAAAGCUGUGUGUUCUUCAUCACUUCUGCAGUGGAAAAACACUUCUGCAGUGUAAAAACACUUUUAACCCAAAACGGGUUUUCACCUAAGUAGAGAAUCCACCCUAAAAUUGUAAAUAGAAAAAGGAAGGACCAAACAUUGUUUCUACCCUGUUUUUGUCUCCUCUUUGAAAAUACUUUCCAAAAAGUUUUAUCAUUUUCUUUUUAUUAAGUUUUCUGUUGGAUCUUAUAGUCAAAUUCCUUUACAUCAUGUACGUUAAUUUGCUUCGCUCUGAUAAAUGUUAGAUAUAGGGUUAUCAGCUAAUUAGGAAAGACUGAUGAUAGUCACCCCUUACAUCCAAAAGCAAAGCUUUUUUCACAUGUGUAUGUAAGGUUGCUAAGCAAAUCUGAUGAGCCUUCACUGAUGUUUUAAGGUUUAAGUUGAUGUUCCUUUUCGGCAAAGAACAUUAUCGAGAUCACAGAAUUUUGAUCGCCUUUUGCUUGUUAUGUUAUUCGUUCUUAAACGAUUGCAUAAUCUUUACUGUGAUUGCAGGAUAUAGAGGAACUUUUGAAUUUCAUCGGUGUAACGAGUUUAGGACCUUGGCAUGUUCUUGCAAAUUUGAAGGAGCUUCUAAGGUCUGUCCAGUCUUCAGAAUAUAUAGAUACCUGAAUUAAUUUUGAUUUUGUAGGAUCAACUAUAAUUAGCUACUUAUUACAGUAUGAAUAGACAACCUGACCUUCUUCACACACGACACAUGUGCGGAUUUUUUUACCAAUCCCAUUUCAUUAAAGAAAAAAAAGAGCUUUAAAAAAGGAUCACACUUUUUUGUUGUUUACAGAAUCAUAAUGUUAAUUAGAGUGGAAUAUUUCAGAUUUCUGAUAAUGAGUAUAUUAUUGAGUAUUGCAGUAAAAAAAUGGGUGUGCAACUUAUUUGAACUUUGAAUGUAUGUUUUGUUGGUGAGAAUAUAAAGUUGAUAAAGAUUUGGUAAAUAGAAUAAAAUACUAUUUUUUAUUAGAAAAAAUAUUUGGUACACUGCCAAUCGAGUUAUAAUUAUCAUGACACAAUAUUAAGGGUAAUUAAAACAUGUCAUAUUACAAAUAAUAAAAUUAUAAUGACUCAAAUCUGCAAACAUGUCAAAAUUUACGUACAAUGAAUUAUUAACAUGUAAAUGUAUAAUAUGGUAUGCAAAAAUAAGAUCAUUGCUUGUUUUUUAAAUUGAAUUGUUAUAACAUAUUGUACAAAAUACAUUGUGAAUUAAGGCAUAAUAUGAACAUGAUAUCAAAAUAUUAAAUUUUUUUAAAAUUCGAUGAUAUGAAUAAUUAUGUAAAAUAUAACAUGAUACAAAAUAACUUGAAAGGAAAAGAGGAAUAAAGAAUUGCAUUGUUUUUGAGGUUUUAAAAUAUUUCAGUUUUAGAUUCAUUUUUCUAGUAUGUUUGGUUUAAUUUUACAUUAGAUUUCCUUUACAGUAUGCACUAGUGAACGCUUAGUAUUCAAUUUAAUUUAAUUCAAAGAGAUAUUGCAUAUACAUAAUAAUGGAUUAUGAUUUUACAUUAAAUUUCAUAGAAGAAAAAAGAAAUAGAUGGUUGAAAAUGAUAAAAUCAUAAGAUAAAAGAGCUUUUAUUUAAAAUUCAAAAAUCAACAAAAUAUUCAUUAUCGCUCAACUUAGCAUAAUUAAACAUUUAGGUGUGAAAAUCAAAUUACAAUUUGAGUAGCUAAACACAUUGCUUGAAAAUGUGAUAAGUAAGAAAAUUGCCCACAUUUGAGUAGCGACAGGUGGUGAUGCAUUUCCCAAUGAGAGAAAACCAAACUCUUCGCCAGUAUGGAUUUAUGUAGAGGACAACAAAAAUUGUCAACAACACAACUACAUAAGAAACCAAAAAGCUCACACAAAAAUCAUAAGUACCUAUCAAACCAUCUUCUCCUUUAUCUUCUGAUACAGUUGAUAUCGUUGAUGGUGAAUCGGUUUUGGAACAACUUUUAUGCAAUAUAGCUCCACAAAGAAAAAGAUUUCCCUCAUAACUGUUUUCAAUAAAGGUCCCAAAUUGAGCUUUUGGUUCGGGAAUACUACCUGACAAGUUGUUGUAUGCCACGCUGAAAACCUCCAAAGAGUUCAACUCUACCAACUGGUUGGGGAUUUCACCACUCAAAUUGUUGUAAGAAAGGUCCAAACUCUCAAUUUGAUGAAGUUUUGC